rnacentral:lncRNA from 1 species
ACGACUUCUCACAAAAUGCGGUCCUGUGAAAACUUCUACAUAAAACAUGUUAAGAAAUGCAUCCCACCCUUUCCCUUUGAAGAACUCGAAAAACUAUGCUAUAAUAUCGAUGUUUACGUAAGAAUCUCUCCCCGGAAAACACACAAAUUCCACUCCAGAAGUUUAUUAGAUGAAAUGAACAAGAAACAGGUGUUUAAGCAUUUAUCGAACAUUCGUACUACUUUUCAAGAAGAAGAUCAAAUAAUACAUGGAAUGAAGCAUAAUUACGUAAAGAGUUAUAAACACAAAAUGGAUCCCCUAAGUAGCAGCGUCUCAAGGCAGCCAAACCAAAUUACCAGGUAUGUACGGAAACCUGCGAGGCAACAAAGGCCAGAGCAUGCCUUUCUGAGCUUUCCAAUCAAUUGCGUUUAGACUAGUUGCCUCCAAUUUCAGCAACACCUCAUCUUUUUUCGGAUUUGGAAUCGGAACUUCAACAUGCUGCAAUAAAGGCCAAUGUCAUGACAAGAAUGUGUUCUGCAAAGUUCUUCAAAGCAACAAAGUAUCCACAUAAUAGACCAACAACUUUGUUUAACAUUUCAUAAGCAUAUACAAAUGGUAAUUUUCUCGAUAACAAAACCUAGUAACUGAGUAAAUCCCUGUUACUAUUUCUUUCAUCAUGUGAUUCAGAUAAAAACAAUAAAAGUAAAAGAUAAAACCUCUUCCUUUAUCCUUUCCUUCCCAACAUCGCAAUGACUCAAUCAAGUACUCGUAUUCCAAGUGGGAUUGCAGUUAUUAAACUGAAAAUAUGACUUCACCCCUAGAACAUAGAUUUUUUAUGUAAAACCCGACAUAAUUGUUUUACUUGAUUAAACCCCAAUAAUUAGGAUCCCCAUAAGCAUAUUCCUUAAUUAAGCUUGAAUACAAAUAUUUUACAUGUUUCCAAUGGCUAUAUUAUCCCUAAUAACAAUUGGAUUUAGACAUUUCUUUUCCUAUUCUAUAUUAUCCCUAAAUGGGUACAUUAAUGAUAUAUAAAUAGACAAACAUUAUGAAACUCAUUGAAGGCGCAAAACAAGGAGUAAAUCUUUGAUAUUGACAUGAUUGGAGAAUACUUGCAAUUUUGUAAAAUGAUUGCAACUCAUAUUAAAUUUUGGAUUUUAUUUAGAGGUUAAGAAGUGCACGGGUAUUGAACUCCCGGAAGAAAAAAAGAAAAAAUACAGGUGAGUUUACGUUUAUGAAAUAAGAGUUACAAGUCUAUAAACAACCUUUAAACCAGAAGUUCCGCCGCCAUAGUUGUCGUACUGAACAGCGUGCAUGGUCUCAUUGGCCAUAGUCUCUCAGUUGUAAGUCCAACCAACGUUCCGAAGAGCCGCAGAAACUUGAAGCUCCUCCCUCCCGGAUUCUAUCAAAUACAGAGCUUAUGCUAGUACAGCAAUAGACUCAUUAGCCCAUGUCUAUAGUGGAACAAAUAUACGCGUGAUUGAUUGAUGUUCACUGAUUGACCCUUGUCUAUUGUGGAACAAAGACACGGGAUUCAUGGGCUAUAGUGGAACAAAUAAUACGCGUUAUUCAUAAUGAUGUUGACUGAUUGACCCUUGUCUGUCGUGGAACAAAUACACGUGAUUCAUAUUGAUGUAGACAGUACAAUCAGUAUAUGGUUUACAGUACGUAUGUGGUCCACAUGUUAAAUAGACGAUCAAUAAUUACAUGGUCCCUAUGUUAAAUAGACAACACGUAAGUGGUCCAUAUGUUAAAUAUACAAUAAGUGUAUGCAGUAGCAGAACCGGGAAGAGAUGGGAAAUUCAAAAUAAUGCAAGAUUCAAUCGAAGUGGUUGCUUUUAUAUUGGAGAGUGUAAAGUUUUGAGUCAAUAUUCAUAGUAGAAAAUAGUCUCUCCACUAAAACGGUUGUAAACGGUAAUAUCAAAACCAAUGUAAUAAGCUUAAAUUGGCUAGGUUUAUAUUCUAAAAAUAGACGCUAGUCAAACAGCGGACUGGAACUUAGUAGCUAGGCGCCUAAGACAGAUCUAGGCAUGAGCCUAGUGGGAUUUAAACGAAUUUCUUUUAUCAUAAAAUAAGCAUUAAGUUGUAGGCCUAUUUGAUUGAACGAUCUAGGGUUUAGAAAGAGAGAAGGAGCCGACUAUAUUAGGAGAAGAGAGAGUGAUUUAAUCGUGAGGUGUGUUUGAUUCACACAAUUGUGCCUUUAUUUAUAGUAGUAGGAUAGGUAAAAACAUUUUCCUUUAGGAUUACAAUAUUUAAUAGGUAAUCAACCCCUGAUAUAAAUAUAAGAUACAUUCCCAGAUUCCCUAAGAUUUACACAAUCACAUUCCUAUUCUAAAUAUGACUGCAACACUUUCCCUUGUAGCUAACGGGGGGAAUACGUCUCCUCGUAAUCACUCCCAAGGCGCUGAGAGAAGCCUUGCACUACGAGGUGUGCUUUGUAUCGUACUAUUUCAUUCUUCUCAUUACGCUUCCUCACGAAAACCCACUUAUAGCCAACGGGUUUCACGAGUUGUGGUGUAGGAACGAUAGGUCCAAAUACCUUACGUUUCGCGAGCGAAUCGAGUUCAACCUGGAUUACUUGUUUCCAGUUUGACCAAUCAGUUCUACGUCGGCAUUCAUCCAUCGACGGAACGUGGUUCAAUGUCAUCACUAAGCAUGAUGUUAGUAGCUACUGAAUACGCGAAUGCAUCGUCGACGAUCAUUUCAUUCCUAUUCCAAACCUUAUCUAAUAUUGCGUAAUGGACCGAAAUCUCGUGAUUCUCAAGAGGCCGGCAUGUUUCGUCUGAAGCAUCGCCGUAAUCUAGAAUAACCUCAUGCGUUGGAUCAGAUGAGUGAGCGAUGGUCGGAUUCAAACUAGGGUCACUAGUUGGUGCCAUUUUCCUCUUCCAAGGUUGUGAAUCCUUUGAACCAAGGGGUCUGCCACGCUUCAGGAUAGAAGCAAAUGAUUGGCUAGCUGCCAAUGUACCGUACCGCGUGGAAGGUGCGGCCUCCCUACCUUCGGGGACGGUCCGGCCUUCCCAGGCAGGUUGUUGACGUACACAGGGUACAUCUAUCCUUGCAGGUAUGUUUGCAGCGAGUAUAUGUGAUAUUGUCACCUUUGCUAGAUCAUUAAAAGCAUCCAGCAUACUUUGAGCAAUGCUCUGAAAAUCUAUAAUUCGUCGCACCUCAAUUUCAGAUUGGGCAGUGCGGGGAUCUAAAUGAGACAUAGUGGGAGCAUACCACGACAAUUUGUGGCGUUCUACGAGAACGUUAGCAUGCUUAUCUCCCCCUAAUGACCGGAAGACUGUCUCAUCAAAGUGACAAUUUGCAAAACAUGUGGUAAAGAGAUCUCUUGUCAAUGGUUCAAUGUCAUCACUAAUCAUAACCGACAUAGAUUCCCAUUUUUCUCUGAGGACCCAUUUUGGUACGUAGUGACGGUGCUAUUGGCACAUAAAUGGCGCACCCAAACACCUAUAAAUGCAAGACGUCAGGCUCGUAUCCAGUGACCAACUGUAACAGUGAAUAUGGUUGAGUAGCGGUGGGCCUUAGGCGGAUCAACAUAGCUACGUGCAAUAUUGCAUAGCCCCAGGCAGAUACUAGCAGUUUGGUUCUCAUAACCAAAAUCUGAGAUAUCAAUUAAAUGCGCUUUAUGAAAGCUUAUGCCAGGCCGUUUUGGAUGUGAACAUACGGUACAGGAUGUUCCACAUCAAUCCCUAAUGACAUGCAAUAAUCGUCAAACAUCUGUGACAUAAACUCUCUAAUGUUAUCCAGUCGAAUCAACUUAAUCGGAUAAUCAGGGUGGUGAGCCCUUAGCUUAAUGAUUUGAGCUAGGAGUUUAGCAAACGCGGUGUUGCGUGUGGACAACAAGCAAACAUGUGACCAUCUUGUCGAUGCAUCAACCAACACCAUAAAUUAUCUAAAUGGUCCACAUGUUGGUUGGAUAUGUCCACAAAUGUCCCCUUGAAUCCUCUAAAGAAACUUAGGGAGGUCGUGAAUAAUCCUUUUGUAUAUAAGGGUUAAGUAUUUAACUUCCCUAAAGAGCACGCUUUGCAUGGCGGGAGUCCAGCAUAUGGAUGUAACUUAUGCCCCGUGUGCAGAUUUGAGGAUACGGCACAUCAUAUCACAUCCAGGAUGUCCCAAACGGUCAUGUCAAAGCAACAAAGUGUCCUAGAACUCAGGCAUAAGGCCGGCCACACUGUGGGCUUCUAUGCUGGGAAUGGUUAUGAUGUACAAUCCACUCGGCAGACGUUUCAACUUCUCGUAAAUAUGCUUCUGGCCAUAUUCGUAUGAAGUGAUACAUAGAAAUUCAGAACCAUUAUCUUCUGUGGUUUCAAGAUGAUAUUGAUUAUCUCGAAUAUCUCUAAAACUCAGCAACGUUCUUCCGGAACGUGGAGAAUAAAGUGCCUUGUUAAUGUUCAAGAUUGUACCAUUAGAUAACAUGAUACGUGCCUUUCCGUAUCCUGCAAUCAGGUUGGAUGAGCUUGAGAGAGUUGUAAAAUGAGCUUUCUUGGGUAUUAAGUUAGUAAAAUAAUGUCGUUCACGCAAGAUGGUGUGUGUGGUUGCACUAUCUGCCAGACAACUAACUUCCCCACUAGACAUACAUAGAAAUAAAUUGAUUAAAUUGGUCACAUGCAUAAAUAUAAGUCCAUUCAUUCAAUUAACCAAUUCGAGAAAAUAAUAUCCAUUCCAAUAACAAUCCCUAAUUCAAAACAAACCAAAACCAAACAAAUUAUUCCAAAUACUUAGAAAAAUUGUUCAAAAUUAAACCAUAAAUCUAGAAAAAUAGGGGGGGUAUGGCCAGCCACUCCUAUUGGGUUCGGCCUUUAGGGGUAAACACCCUAAAAACAUGUCUAAUUUAUUCAUCCAUAAGCGUUGACGCCUCCUGAAAAUCCGAAAUGUCCAUUGAUGUAGUUGCAUCUUCCGGAUGAUCCACAUGUGCAAAGUUAGACUCAUAACUGGAAUGAUACUUGGCAAUAGCCUCAGGGGAAGCUUGACAUAAUAGUGACCAAUGAUCAUUUGAUCCACAAUGAUAGCACAUGUCCAGUUCAGCAGAAGCAGGCUGAACGGGAGCUUUGCCCUUAUUCUUGAAGUUUAUGGCCUUAGGGGAGAGUGGUUGACGCUGCUGGGUUACAUUUCUUCCCUUAGAUGUGGCACUUUGUUGACCUUGGGCUUGUGGUUGGGUUUGCCACCCAUUGCCACAGCUACGAUGAUUCUUUCGUCAUUUAUGGCUACUAGAAUAGGUCGCAUGCGCUUCAGCUUAGGCGUUCGAGCCAAUUGAUCGAGCUUGAUGAUUCUUCAUCAAAAGCUUGGUCUGCUUUUCAGCGAUAAGUAAAACAGAGAUCAAAUCCAAAAACUUGGUGAAUUUAUGUGCCCUAUAUUUUUGCUGCAGGACAAUAUUGGUGGCAUGGAAGGUGGAAUAAGUAUUCUCCAGAAGAUCUGAUUCGGUUAGUUCCACUUUGCAGAAUUUCAACAGUGAACGGAUUCUACAAACUUCAGAGUUGUAUUCAUUCACAUACUUAAAGUCCUGGAAGUGAAGAUGUUGCUAGUCGUGUCUUACUUCAGUAUGUCUUUCUGGCGAUCAAAACGGUCGGCCAGAGCAAGCCAAAGGGUGCGUUGGUCCUCCUCAGCGAGAUACUCAGUCUGCAGUGCAUCAUGGAUGUGCCUUCGAAUGAAGAUCAUUGUAGAAGCCUUCUAAGCUUUGUCAACAGGUUUGUCGGUGGUAGGUGCCUCGAUGGUGGCUCUGAUGCCCUUUGCAGUCAGAUGGAACUUCAUGUCUUGAACCCACUUCAGAUAGUUUCUUCCAGAAAAUUCUAGAGCAGAGAAAUCGAGCUUGUUUAAGUUCCACAUGUCCCUAAAACAGAAGGAAAAACGUGAGUAGUCAUAUGGUAAGCUAUAAACAUAUAUCGUAAAACAUACAGGUUCUAUAGGCAUGUACUGGUUUAAUUGAUGCAUGAAAACUACAGGUUUCAUGUGGUAUGUUUUGAAUAAAAACUGCGGGUUUCAAAGGUACUAAAUUUGAAAUUACAAGUUCAAUUUAGUUUUAUGAACAAUUAGUUCAUAAUGAGAUGUUCCUGCAAGAAACACAGAAUGCAAUAUACUAAUUUGAAUAUAGUGGAUUUGAGGUUCUUCGAGAACUCAAGUGUGAGAGCGUCGUUACUACGAAAGUAUGUGAUGGUUCAAAGUAAAAAAAUAAAUUAUUGAAUCGUUAAUGUCCAAAAGUGAUCUUUAGGUCAAUAAUUUUGGAUUCAUUAUUAUAUUAAUGGACUGCAUGACUCAAUCAAGUACUCGUAAUCCAAGUGGGAUUGCAGUUAUUAAAUUGAAAAUAUGACUUCACCCCUGGAACAUAUAUUUUUCAUCUAAAACCCGACAUAAUUGUUUUACUUGAUUAAAACCCAGUGAUUAGGAUCCCCAUAAGCAUAUUCCUUAAUGAGCUUGAAUUCAAAUAUUUUACAUGUUUCCAAUGGCUAAAUUAUCCCUAACAAUAUAUCAAGUUUUUUUUUUUUAACAAACAAUAUUUUUUACACUAAAGGAGGGGUGAACUUAGCCUCAUAAUGAGCUAGCAAUAAUGAGGUCUAAAUUUGCCUUUGGCGAAAAUUGAAGGUAAGACCUCUCUCUUUAACAAUUGUUCUUGCUUCUUAUUUUUUGUUUGAAAUUGAUUUAUUAUAUGCCACUAGGUAAAUUUGUGCUUGUAAAUAUAGAUAAAUUAGUGUAAAUAUAGGUAAAUUAGUGUAUUUCUUAUGUGAUGUCAUAAAAUAAUGUAUCUAUUCUUUUCUCACCCUUUAGUUGUAAUACUUCGUUGUAUGAAAAUAAUGUGCUUAUAUUGUGUCGGUAGGUAAUUAUUGCACAUGAAAAUGCAGGUAAAUAACUUAUAUAUACCAUAUAAGUAAAUUAGUGAAUCAACAAAUUCUAAAUGGGUACAUUAAUGAUAUAUAAAUAGACAAAACAUUAUGAAACUCAUUGAAGGCGCAAAACAAGGAGUAAAUCAUCCAUAUUGACAUGAUUGGAGAAUACUUGCAAUUUUGUAAAAUAAUUGCAGUAAUCGGUCAACUAUUUCUCUAGCUUGCAACUCAUAUUAAAUUUUGGGUUUUAUUUAGAGGUUAAGAAGUGCACGGGUAUAUUGAACUCCCGAAAAAAAAAAAAAAAAAAAAAAAACAAACAAACAGGUGAGUUUACGUUUAUGAAAUAAGAGUUACAAGUCUAUAAACAACCUUUAAACCAGAAGUUCCGCCGCCAUAGUUGUCGUACUGAACCUCGUGCAUGGUCUCAUUGGCCAUAGUCUCUCAGUUGUAAGUCCAACCAACAUUCCGAAGAGCCGCAGAAACUUGAAGCUCCUCCCUCCCGGAUUCUAAGAAAUACAGAGCUUAUGCUAGUACAGCAAUAGACCCAUUAGCCCAUAUCUAUUGGGGAACAAACUGAUACGAGUGAUUCAUAAUGAUGUUGACUGAUUAACCCUUGUCUAUUGUGGAACAAAUACACGUGAUUCAUAUUGAUUUAGACACUACACUGAGUAUAUGGUCCCCCCGCUAAAUGUACAGUACGUAUGUGGUCCAUAUGUCAAAAAGACGAUACAAUAAGUCCCCAUGUUAAAUGUACAGUACGUAUGUGGUCCAUAUUAGAUCUGACAUUUGUGUCCUGUUUUUCGUAUUCGUGUCAGUUUCAUGUCAUACCUGAUAUCUUAACGGAUCGUGUCGUGUAAUACCCGUUAAAAUAAACGGGUAAAAUAAUCCGACCCGAAAUCAACCCGAUAAUAUAAACAGGUAAUAUGACCCGACCUGUUACCUAUUAAGGAAAAUAUAUUUUAAACCAAUAAAUAAUCAAAUGAAAAACAUAAUACUCAAUAAGUAUAUACAUAUCUUAUUGUCACAUCCAAAACAUAAAAACGUAUUUUUCUUUUAAGUAUAUUUUCACUUACCUAAAGUCUUUAAUAGUUUUUUAAUUAAUGUAGAAGGGUAAAAAAAUAUAAAAAAUAUAUAUAAACGCUCAUAAUGACAAGCUUUACAACUUUCAUGAAUAGCUUAACUUUGAAAUUCGCCAUUAUAAUCAUAUAAAUCAUAGAUCAAAAUUUAACUGUUGAUUGUUGUUUACAUUUACGCUUCAUUGUUCUCAUCAAAAUUUUUUUUUCUUCAGAUUUUCUUUUUUGAAAACUUGAUCUAUUAGAGGAUGCAGAAAGAUAAACUGUUUGGAUCGUUGAUAUUAUAUUUAGAGUUUCACGGUUAGUGAAAAUAUUGCUUGAUGUUUAUAAAGUUUCUACAAACUAUAUGACAUCGACUCAUAUUUCAGUUAACCGUAAAUAUCAAAACGUGAUAUCAAAGAUCUGAAUCGUUCAUCUUCUUACAUCUGCCAGAUGAUCAUGUUUUCAAAAGAAGAUAAUUUUUAAAAUAAAAUUCAGUAAGAAGAAUAAAGUGUAAAUGACAAUCGACGGUUAAAUAUAAAUUGAAGGUUUAUAAAUUAUAGUGUUGGAUUUCGAAGCUGACCCCUUCAUGAAAGCUGUAAAGUUUGUCACUAUGAGUGAUUUUGUAUUUUUUUUAUACAUUUUUUACACUUCUACAAUAAUUAUUAUUAAUUUUAUUAAUUUUGUCCUCAAAUAAAAAAUAUUAUUCAUGAAGGUUUGGAAGAUUUUAAAAAUCUAAACGAUAAUGUAAGUGUAACCAUUAUCUACUCGUGGAGGAAUAAUGAUGACUUGCGAGUGUUUAUAUAUUUUUUCAUAUUUUUCAUACUUGUAUGUAUGUCUUCUUAGUUUUUGCCUAUACAAAUAAUAUAUUAGUUUAUUUUAAUUUUGGACAACAACAUGUUAAUUAAAAUUUAUCUUAGUAAUGAUAAUAAGGAACUCUCAUAAUAAAAAUAAAUAAUGACAAAAACUUUUUUUUUUAAACUUAUAUAAAAUAAUAAUACAAAACUUUAUAUUUAAUAUAGAAUAUAUUGUAUAUAUUAAUAUAGCUAUUGUAUUUUAUAAUAAAUCUUUUAGUAAUUAAACUUUAAAAUUAUCAAAAUAAAUUUUUUCCUAACGGGUCGAAACGGGUUACCCGCAUGUAUACCCGUUCAAAAUCCGUUAUUAACGGGUUCUUAACAGGUCACCCGAUAAGUUAUCGUGUUGACCCGAAAUCCGUUAUUUUUCGUGUCGUGUCACUGUUCCAUGUGAGAAAUUACCGGGUCUAGUCCAUAUGUUAAAUAGACAAUAGAAUAAGUCCCUAUGUUAAUUAGACUACACGUAUGUGGUCCAUAUGUUAAAUAUACCAUAAGCAGGGUUCUAAAAAACAUUAGGUGCUAGUCGGGCGGCGAGCUAGUGCCUAGCGCUUAGGCGGCCUAGGCGGAUUUAGGUAAAUUUCUUGUAUAUCUUGUAAAUAAGUGCAUAUUGACACUUACAAAAAAUUAUACUUGUAUGAAAUUCAUGGAUAAGAUAAUAAAAAAAUGAUAAAAUGCAAAAAGAGUAUCCAACAAGUUCAAAAUUUUAAAACACAUUAAGCAUAUAUGUCAUAUAACCAUAAUGAGGAGUAUUGUAGGAUGACACAUGUACGACAAGCUGACAAUUUAAAACCACAUAUUCAGCGGAUUUAAGUAAAUUUAUUAUAUAUCAUAUAAAUAAGUGUUUGUUCAUAUCUAAAAUAUACAUAAUUUCAUUUAAAAUUAUAAGAUAAUCAAAUUUAAACAUUAAAUAAUAUGUUCUUUUUUAAGCGAGAGCUUUAACAUUUUAAGUACAUAAUAAAAAUACAUAUGGUAUGAUCUUAAAAAAAUAAAAUAAAACAUUACAACAAAAAAAUAAAAAAAAGAAUGAAAAGUAAUAACGGGUUAAGAGUGGAAAAAGAAAAGGGCAUAAAAAGUAGUAAAAAAAUGGUGAGAACCAUUCAAAGAAAACGUGCAGUCUGUAAUGGAUGCUUUUCCUAGAUAAAAGAUGGUGGGGACCAUCUUGAUUGAAUCAUGCAAACUGAAUAAUGAUCCAUGUUUACAACCAGACAAAAACAGAAACAAUAUUAAAAACAAAAUAAAUAUGUUAUAGUCGUAAUAAAUAAAUUAGCCUUAUGCAGAAACCAAGAUAAAAAACAAAUAAACAAAUUAAACAGCACAGGAAACAAGGAGAAAAAAUAGAUAAACUAAUUAACUAGCACAGGAACCAAGGAGAAAGAAAAUAAAGUAAAGCAUCAUCUUCAUCUUCUUCGCGUUGAGUUGCACGACGGCUCUGCAACAAUUUUUUCAGAUUCUGGCGUGCUCUACGUAGGCCCUCCUAGCCUUCGCCCAACACCGUCCUGACCAGCAUAACUCCGCCUAGUCCCACCUAAUCCCGCUUAAGCGUCCGUCAAAUAUAUUUCCGAUUUUGUGUCCGAUUAGACCAUCUCCAACCCUUGGGCUAAAAGCCAAAUUUUUUAGCCCGGAAAAUUUAGCUUUUAGCCCAGAAACAUCUUUUCUGCUCCAACCCUUCUACUCUAAAAUUUUAGCCCGGAAUUAUUAAAGAAUGAAAUUAGCCUAAAUUUUUUUCUUAAAUCAAUUUUUAAAAAAAAAAUAAAUAUGUAGAUUAUUGUAAAUUAAUUUUAUGAACAUUUUAAUCUAAAAAAAUUUAAAUUCCGAUAAACAUUUCGCAUUUAGCCCGGGGGGAAUUUGGGGGGGAAUUUGGCCCAACUUUAGCAUUCCCCUUUUAGCCCAAUAUUUUAGCUUGGGUUGGGGGGUGUUUGGGGGGAAUUUUGGGCUAAAUAUUUGGCAUUUAGCCCAGGGUUGGAGUAGGUCUUAGAAGCUAAUCGCAGCAGCAACCGAACGCCCAGCGCCUAGGCGACCGCCUAGACCGACUUUUAGAACACUGACCAUAAUUGUAUGCAGUGGCGAAGCCAGGAUUUGCCGAGAAGAGAGGUGAAAUUUAAAAGAGUGCAAGAUUCAAUUGAAGCGGUUACUUUUAUAUUAGAGAGUGCAAAGUUUUGAGUCCAUAUUUAUAGCAGAAAAUAGUGUCUCCACCAAAGCGGUUGUAAGCAGUAAUAUCAAAGCCAAUGUAAUAAGCUUAAAUUGGCUAGGUUUAUAUUCUAAAAAAAAUACGCUAGUCAAGCAGCUAACUGGAACCUAGUAGCUAGGCGCCUAGGAGAGAUCUAGGUAGGAGCCUAGUGGGAUUUAAAUGAAUUUCUUUUAUCGUAAAAUAAGCAUUAUGUUGUAAGCCUAUUUGAUUGAACGAUCUAGGGUUUAGAGAGAGAGAAGGGGCCGACUAUGGUUAGAGAGAAGAGAGUGAUUUAAUUGUGAGGUGUGUUUGAUUCACCCUAUUGUGUCUUUAUUUAUAGUAGUAGGAUAGGUAAAAACCUUUCCCUUUAGGAUCACAACAUUUAAUAGGUAAUCAACUCCUAAUAGGAAUAGAAGAUACAUUCCCAGAUUCCCUAGGAUUUAUACAAUCACAUUCCUAUUCUAAAUAUGACUGCAACACUCCCCCUUGAGUGUGUAAAUACUCAACAAACCAUCGCAUCAGAUCUUCAGCAGAUAAGGUAGAAUAGUUGAUGAAGUCAUCGGCACAACGGAUGAUUGCGAGUCUCAAAUUUAAGUGAAGUAUGCAUUUGUAGUAAAACUCACAAAAAUAUCGUUAUGGUAAAACCCAAGUCAUGGGGAAAACCCAUGGACUAAGGAGAAAAGUGAGAAGUAUGUAUAAUGUCUUUAAACAAACGUCAAAUUGGACGAAGGUAGUGAACUCAAUGGAGUAUGAUCAUCCCAAGAUGAGUGUCUCAUUAAAACCUCGUUAGGUAGCAAAAACCCAGUGGAAAAUGCUCUUAAUCGUAGGAAAAAGAGUACAUUAAGAUCAUGUGAGUAUGUUUCUAGAUAUUCCCCCUGAGUUAGACAUAACUUCUAAAUAAGAGAACUACAAGCGACUCAACUCAGAUAAUUUAAGCAUUUUGAUUCCUUGGACGAGCUUCUGAAAAGUAGACUUGGGCAAUAACUUGGUGAAGAGAUCAGCCAGGUUGUCCUGGGAACGGAUUUGCUUGACCUCAAUGUUCUGAUGCUACUACUGUUGGUGUGAGUAAAAGAACUUCGGGUUAUGUGCUUGGUUUUGUCUCCCUUGAUGUAUCCCUUCUUCAACUGCUUGAUACAUGUCGCAUUGUCUUCAAAUAUCGUCGUAAGAAGGUCAACGACUGAUGUAAGACCACUAAUGCUUCAAAUAUGUCCUAUAAGAUAUAGCGGUGUCUCUAAAGGUAAAGACAUAUCCUGUUUGAGAACGUGCCAUGUGUGGGUCAAACAGAUAUCCAGCAUCUGCGUAACCAACAAGGCGAGAAUCAAUCCGAGAACCAUAAGGGGCGGUAACACUCGAAGAUUCGUAGGUAUAGAACAAGCCCAAAUCCGUUGUACUUUUGAGGUAGCGAAAAAUGUCUUUAACAUCAUUCCAGUAACUGCAUGUGGGCGCAUUGCUGUAUCUUGCCAAAAUGUUCACAGCAAAUGAGAUGUCGGGUCUAAUGCACUGAGCCAAGUACAAUAAAGCCCCAAUUGCACUUAGGUAAGGAACUUUGGGUUCCAAAAUCUCUUCCUCAUCCCCUUUUGGAUGGAAGGAAUCUCGUUUAGCAUCUAGAGUCCGAACGACCAUGAGUGUACUCGAAGGUUUCGCUUUAUCCUCAUUAAAAGGAUGUAACACCUUUUGGGUGUAGUUCAAUUAAUGUACUAGGAUUCCAUGCAAACAAUGCUCGAUCUCCAGGCCAAGACAGUAUCGAGUUUUACCAAGAUCCUUCAUCUCAAAUUCCGAUUUCAAAUGCGCAUCAAUUUCCUCAUGCUUUACGGGACUCCCAAUGAGGUUCAUGUUAUCGACAUAAACUGCAACGAUUGCAAAUAAGGAAUGUGACCUCUUUAUGAACACGCAUGGGCAUAAUUCGUUGUUCACAUAACCCUGAUUUGUUAAAUAUUCACUCAGACGGUUAUACCACAUUCGCCCGGAUUGUUUCAAUUCGUAGAGUGACCUCCUCAACCUAAUAGAGAAAGUGUUCCAUGGUCUAGAACUAUUUGAACUAGUCAAUGGAAGUCCUUCUGGAACUUUCAUGUAAAUUUAUGUAUCUAGAUCCCCAUAGAGAUAAGCGGUUACCACGUCCAUAAGCUGCAUAUUCAGUUUUUUGAAAACUAUCAAACUGAUUAGGUAAUAGAAUAUUAUAAUGUCCAUUGCGGGGGAAUUCGUCUCCUUGUAAUCAAUCCCACGGCGCUGAGAAAAACAUUGUGCUACGAGGCGUGCUUUGUAUCACACUAUUUCAUUAUUCUCAUUAUGCUUCCUCACAAAAACCCACUUGUAGCCAACGGGCUUCAAGCGUGGUGGUGUAGGAACGAUAGGUCCAAAUACCUUACGUUUCAUGAACGAAUCGAGUUCAACCUAGAUUGCUUGUUUCCAGUUUGACCAAUCAGUUCUACGUCGGCAUUCAUCCAUCAAAGAAACGUGGUUCAAUGUCAUCGGUAAGCAUGAUAUCAGUAGCUACUGAAUACGCGAAUGCAUCAUCGACAAUCAUCUUAUUCAUAUUCCAAACCUUAUCCAAUAUUACGUAAUGGACCAAAAUCUUGUGAUUCUCGAGAGGCUGGCAUGUUUCAUCUAAAGCAUCACCAUAAUCUAGAAUAACCUAAUGCGUUGGAACAGAUGAGUGAGUGAUGGUCGGAUUCAACCUCUAGGGGUAAACACCUUAAAAAAAACAUGUCUAAUUUAUUCAUCCAUAAGCGUUGACGCCUCCUGAAAAUUUGAUAUCUCCAUUGAUGUAGUUGCAUCUUCCGGAUGAUCCACAUGUGCAAAGUUAGAUUAAUGACAGGAAUGAUACUUGGCAAUAGCCUCAGGGGAAGCUCGACAUAAGCAUGACCAAUGAUCCCUUGAUCCACAACGAUAACACAUGUCCAGUUCAGUAAAAGCAGACUGAACGGGAGCUUUGCCCUUAUUCUUGAAGUUUAAGGCUUUAGGGGAGAGUGGUGGACGCUGAUGGGUCACAUUUUUUUCCCUUAGGUGUGACACUCUAUUGACAUUGGGCUCGUGGUUGGGCUUGCUGCUCGUUGCCACGGCUACGACGAUUCUUUCAUCGUUUAUGGCUCCUAAAAUAGGUCGCAUGCGCUUCAGCCUAGGCGUUCGAGCCAGUGGGGUCAAGCUUGAUGAUUCUUCAUCAAAAGCUGGUUCUGCUUUCAGCAAGAAGGAAUACAGAGAUGAAAUCCGAAAACUUGGUGAAUUUAUGUGCCUUAUAUUGUUGCUGCAGGACAAUAUUGGUGGCAUGGAAAGUGGAAUAAGUCUUCUCCAGGAGAUCAGAUUCGUGAAAACUACAGAAGGAAAAACGUGAGUAGUCAUAUGGUAAGCCAUAAACAUAUAUCGUAAAACAUACAGGUUCUGUAGGCAUGUAUUGGUUUAAUUGAUGCAUGAAAACUACAGGUUUCAUGUGGUAUGUUUUGAAUGAAAACUUCGGAUUUCAAAGGCACUAAAUUUGAAACUACAAGUUCAAUUUAGUUUUAUGAACAAUUAGUUCAUAAUGAGAGGUUCCUGCAAGAAACACAUAAUGCAAUAUACUAAUUUGAAUAUAGUGGAUUUGAGGUUCUUCGGGAACUCAAGUAUGAGAGCUUCGUUACUACGAAAGUAUGUGAUGGUUCAAAGUAUAAAAAUAAAUUAUUAAAUCGUUAAUGCCCAAAAGUGAUCUUCAGGUUAAUAAUUUUGGAUUCAUUAUUAGAUUAAUGGACUGCAUGACUCAAUCAAGUACUCGUAAUCCAAGUGGGAUUGCAGUUAUUAAAUUGAAAAUAUGACUUCACCCCUGGAACAUAGAUUUUUCAUCUAAAACCCGACAUAAUUGUUUUACUUGAUUAAAACCCAGUGAUUAGGAUCCCCAUAAGCAUAUUCCCUAAUUAAGCUUGAAUUCAAAUAUUUUACAUGUUUUCAAUGGCUAAAUUAUCCCUAAUAACAAUUGGAUUUAGACAUUUCUUUUCCUAUUCUAUAUCAUUUUUUUUAACAAACAAUAUUUUCUACACUAAAGGAGGGGUGAACUUAGCCUCAUAAUGAGCUAGCAAUAAUGAGGUCCAAAUUUGCCUUUGGCGAAAAUUGAAGCUAAGACCUCUCUCUUUCACAAUUGUUCUUUUUUCUUAUUUUUUUUUGUUUGAAAUUGAUUUAUUAUAUGCAACAAGGUAAAUUUGUGCUUGUAAAUAUAGAUAAAUUAGUGUAAAUAUAGGUAAAUUAGUGUAUUUAUUAUGUGAUGUCAUAAAAUAAUGUAUCUAUUAUUUUCUCACCCUUUGGUUGUAAUAUUUCGUUGUAUGAGAAGAAUGUACUUAUAUCUUGUUGGUAGGUAAAUUAUUACACAUGAAAAUGCAUGUAAAUAACUUAUAUAUACUGUAAACAUGGAAAUUCUUGAAACAAACGAAACAAGAACACAUGUACAAAAUAAUAUUUUGUAUUAAUGAUUUUUGAGGUUACAAUCUCUCUCAAAUUUAAUCCUCUGAUUCGAUCUCCAUGAGGUGUUGAUUUGUGGAUGUGCGAUUGAUCCAAGGGCCAUUGAGGCUUGAACUUGGAUGAACGGUUGGAAAUUUCUUCAAGGGGCUUUAGGCCUAAUCUUGAGGGUUGAUGGAUGAACGGAUCUUCAAGGCUUUUGAGCUUGAUCUUGAAGAACUGUUGAUGAACGGAUCUUCAAGGGCUUUUGGGCUUGAUCUUGAAGAACGGUUGGAUGUGUGGAUUUAUUGAUGUUGUUGAUCCAAAAGGUCGUUGGGGCUUGAUCUUAGGAUGAAUGGAUUUAGUCACACGCUACGUGUAAAAUUUAUGUGACACUUGAGCAUUGAAAUUGUAAUUGUUGGUCAACAUUUAUUUCACCGAAAUUUCAAUGUCUACAAAUGCCCCCACUUCAAGGCGCGUCGUAUACAUGUGCUUGUCACGUGUAGGAGAUGCAUUUUAAAGUCCCUUAAUGUAAAUGUCGAUCCAAUGGCCAUCGAUGCUUGAUCUUGAAUUGGGCUGGAGAUUUCUUCAAGGGUCGUUGAGGCUUGUUCUUGAACUUUGUUUGAAAUUUCUUCAAAGGCCGUCGAGGCUUGAUCUUGAAUUAAAUUGGACCACAAGGAGCUUCAUGUGGUAGAUGAUCUUUGGCUUUGGUAGUGGAUGAAUCGGUACGUAUUUUCUUGCGCUUGUUGACUUUCCACAACUUUGAUCUUGAACUGGGUUGGAGGAUUUUCUGGUUUCCUCCAAUUAUUGACUUUCCACUGGCUUAUUCUUGAACUGGGUUGAGGGGUUUCUUCUGCUAGACUUACCCCAAAAUGUCUGGAUUUACUCCUUUUAUCUGGAGCUGAAUUUGGUUCAAGGAUGGUGGACACUUAAUCUUGAAUCGGACGUGAUUUCUUCAAGUUGGUGACUUAAUCUUUAAGGAUUUGAUUCAAGGGUGGUGAAUCGGCACGUGCAGCUCACAACGCCUAGCGAGUAGACUCAAGAAUUUGAGGGUCAAAACAAGUCCGCCAAAUCUAGAGUACUUGCAACCCUGACGAUAUGAGAUAUUUUUUGCUUUUGAAGAAGUAGCAGGUGAAUCGGCACAUGUUUGCUGUGCUUGUCUCCACAUGCUUCAAUGUAGCAUUUUCACUUACCUUAUCUGUUCUUCAGGCAGAUUUGGUAUCUUCUGCUAGACUUGUCUAUUUCCCCGGCGGAGCAAUGCUAGGUAAGCAAUCAGGAAAGGGUUCCAGGUAGUCGGUUCCUGACUAGGAGUUUGACUUCAAGUUCCGACUGAUUGCUCUCUUUCUUCUUGUCCUGUAGGUAAGAACAAGGACAAAGAAAAUGACAGGGAGAAAGCAUGAUAUGAGAUACUCUUGUUUUCGAAGAAGUGGUGGCGAUUUGACAGCAUUGCAUAGUGAGGCUUUGUUCUUCGGGGAUGGUGCCAGCGAAAGGCUAUUGAAGCUUUUCGAGCUCUUUGAUUAGGGCAACGAUGCCAAGCUUAGCUUUGAUUUAGACUCAUCCAUCUGGGUUAUGCGGUUCUGCAGGGAAGGGCGUCGUGCUAUAGUGAUCUGUUCUGGCUCAUCAUUGAUCCUUCUGCUUCAAUCUCUUGCAGUAUUUGCCCCCGAUGCAGGAGUGGAAUGCAAUCUUUGCAUUUAAAUGGCCUUUCAGAGCACUACUUCUUAGCGGCGAUGAGCACUCAAGAGCACUGCCAGGUAAGCAACCAGGCAAAGGUUCCGGGCAAUCAAUUCCAGAUCAGAAGUUUGAUUUCAAGUUCCGACUGAUUGCUUUCUUUCUCCUUGUCUUGCAGGUAAGAGCAAAGGUAAAGGAAAAGACGAGGAAAAAGCAUGAUAUGAGAUACUCUUGCUUUCUAACCUGAUGAUAUGAGAUACUUUUGUUUUGAUGUCAUUUGUUUGCAAGGGUAUUCCUGGAGAGGAAGAAAACUGAGUAUUUCAAGAGGCUAUACUAGGAGUGUACUCUCGGAGGUGAGGAAGAGUUGGGCAUUUUUUGUAGGUCUGCCUUGCUAUGGAGGACGAAGGUCGACAUAUAUAGGAAUUUUCCAACAGCCAGUAGUGGCACUAUUUCUUUACUCUUGUCGGCAACUGUUAGGUAAUUGAAACAGUAAGAUUCACGCGUUUUCGACUUUGUCAGAAAUCUUUGACAAAGUUGUCCGUGCUUUCUGCAAAGUUGAAAGGGUGGCGACAAACUUUGAUCCGGAAAAUCCAAUUUUUUUUUUAAUUCACAUAGCAGUGCCUCUUCGAUCUGUGAACCGGUGGCCUUGUUGCCUUUUUUAUUUCUGAACAAAAGGCCCGACUUUUGAAAUUCAGGGAGAGGUGCCUUUUUGGUUUCUGAACGGUCACGUUGCCUCUUCGAUUUCUGAACAGGCCUUGUUGCCUCUUCUUUUUUAUAGAGGCAUGAAUUCUGUUCAAAACACACUUAGAGAGUUGUCGCAUGUAGGAAUUUUUUUUUUUUAAUAUUUCUGAGAAUUCGAUUUACCCGACCUCUUCUUCCUUUAUCAUUUUUUUUACAAAUGGCUUGCCUAUCUGAUCGUCUUCUUGAUUUGAAUGUUGGGGAAGAUGUUGAUAUGUCUUCUCCAUACAACAUAUGGCACCCAUCCUUCUUAUCCCUCACCGGUUCUCUUACGGUUAGGGACUCUGUGAUGAAGAAUGACAUCACUGCUAUGGUGGUUGCUAGAAAUCUUCUCACCCCCAAGGAUAGCAGGAUCAUUUCCAAACGGUCUGAUGAGAUGGUUGUUCAGGACUCUCUGGCUUUCAGUGUUCAGUGUGCGGGCUCCGUAUCAAAUAUGGGCCAACGCCUUCUUGCUCGAACUCGUCAAGUCGAGUCACUAAUGGCUGAGGUGGCGAGUCUUAAGCAAGAGAUUAGAGGGCUUUAGCGUGAAAACAGAGUUGCACAUACUUGCCAAUAGUUACUCGACGAGCAUGAAGAGAAAGCUUGACCAGCUGCAGGAAUUCGAAAGUCGGAUUCAGAGUGACCAUCAUAUGGUUGUGGCUUUACUCCAGAGACACAUAUUGCAUUUGUCCUCUGGCGUUUUACCGAGUGUUGAGGCUCCAAACAAUCAACCUCCGGCGUCUCUUCUUCCCUGAGUUUCGCCGAGUGAUGAGGUGCCACCUGAGCAACCUUCUUGAAAUCAAUAAAUGAGGCUUUUUUCACUCAAUGGAUUUUUUUUAUUUUUUCUUUUCUUUUCUUUCGCAUGGUGCUGAUCCACCAUUCAAUUUUUUAUAUAUUUCUUUCUUUUCUUUCCUUCACGCGGUAAGGCACCAUUCCAAAACUUUUUUUCUUUCUUUCAUAUGGUGCAAUUCGCACCAUCCCACCUCCCUACUUUCUUUUGCUUUUUUUUUGUUUUUUUGUAUUUUUUAUCCUUCUUUUCAAAGUGGGCUGAUGGUGAUGAUCCUUUACAAUUUUUUAUUAGUAUUUUUUUUAUUUUUUUUCACAUGGUGCUGUGCACCAUCCAAACUUUUAUACUUUUUUUUUGUCGGCCAUAUAUAUAUAUAUUUUUUCUUUCUUUUAACGUGGUGGCACCACUUUGCUCCACCAUCCCAUUUUUUAUUAUUUUUUGGGUAAAUUACAUAGUAGCCCCUUAGGUUUGAGAUCUAUUACAAUCUCAUACAACAUCUUUAAAACAUUUCACUUUCAUGCCUCAAGUACUAUUUUAUUUCAAAAUAAUACCUCUGUUACAUUUUACAUCCAUUGAUCCGUUAAAUGCUGACGUGGCUGUCAAAUAUGUGCCACAUGGCUGCCAAAUGUAUGCCACGUGGCAAAAAUAAUAAUUUUUUAUUUUUUAUUUUUGAAAAAUCUUAAUCUUCUUAUAAAAAAUAUAAAAAAUAAUAAAAUAAUAAAAAAUAAAUAAAAAAAACCAAAACUUAGAAAACACAGAACCACCCCCGCAACCUCUCCCUACCCCUCUUUUCCCUCCCAACCACCUCCCUCUCCUCCACUCUCUUCACCUCCCCUCCCAUCCAAAAACCCACCCCACUCCCUUUCUCCCUUCUCUCAUAUGUAACCUCACCCACAACAUUCCAACAUAUUCAAAUCAUGAAAUUAAACAACAAUUUUCUCAAUUCAUACACAGAAAUCCAAGAGUUUAACCUUAAGGGACAGCAACCACCAUUCCUUGAAGCUCUGGAGUGAGGACGACCUGCCAUCCCAGCCUUGAGAACCCUAGCCCUAGAGUUCCUCUUCAGCACGUACUCCUUGUCGUAGGACCGCAGAGGGAGGUGGCUCGACGAAGGGAGCUUGUCGCCGGGGGCAAGGUUCGUGAGAGCUUGUCGUUGCCGGAGCUUAUCGUCGCAGGGGGGGAGGGUAGUCACGCAAGCUUGUAGCCGCAGCCGGGGGGGCGGAGGGGGCUUCAGGAAGAGCCUCUGCGAGGUGGGGUGAGGUGGGUCGUCUGGAGAGGGGGUGUUUAAGUUUAUGGGUUUUUGUGUAUGGGUAUGGAGGGAAGGGAAGAGGGGUUCAGCUUUUGCUUUUGUUUUUUUUAAGAAGAUUCAAAAUUUUCAAACAAAAAUUAUUAUUUUUGCCACGUGGCAUACAUUUGGAAGCCACGUGACACACAUUUGGCAGCCACGUCAGCACUUAACGGAUCAAUGGAUGAAAAAUGUAACAGAUGUAUUAUUUUGAAAUAAAAUAGUACUUAAGGUAUGAAAGUGAAAUGUUUUAAAGAUGUUGUAUGGAGUUGUAAUAGACCUCAAACCUGAGGGGCUACCAUGUAAUUUACCCUUUUUUUUGUAUAAAUUUUGAUGAUGGGCUGGGGAAUUUGCAAGGAAGGACGAAGACGGAAGGAGAGCUAGAGUCAAGAUUAGUGGUAGUGCAAAGCGUCGAGCUUCACGACCAGCUAGUCAUUUGACGGUGGUCGUUGAAGUUCUUCGCCGACUUUGAUCAUGGCGACCAAAGUGACGAGCUUGAGGUAGUGCAAAGCGUCGAGCUUCAUGACCGGCUAGUCGUUUGACGGUGGUUACUGAAGUUCUUCGUCGAUUUUGUUCAUGGUGGCCAGAGUGAAGAUGACUCACAGGUUUAGAUGCAGGAGCAUGGAGAGCACAGACGAAAGUGCGUUGAGGGCCGAAGAAGAAUGCGAGGAGACUGAGGAAGAAGCCCUUCCUCUUGUUCUGCCAUGGAAGAUGAACCUCUUCGAAAUCUGAAGCUCUACUACUACCACAACUGAGCACAACCAACAGACUCCGCCACGUCAAUUCCCUGGGCUCCCCCAAAGACACCUUUGCUUCAUGCUAAUCGUUGGAUAAGUGACAGCCGCAACUCUACCUCUCUACCCAGCGAGAGCCCCACCACAAGGUCACACGCCACCGAGAAUCUCUGCCCAACUAGCCGCUGCCAUGCUGCUGUCUGUGUCUUUCUUCUCUCAGCAACUAAUGUAUUGCCAGCCAUCUCGUUGUUUCCUCUGUGAGCCUCAUCAACGCCUACCGAGCCCUUGCCGAUGAUGCACGUCAUUCCUUUGAUCGCUUCAACGUAUUCAGCAACUCGACUGAGUCGCACAAGCCCAAACAACUCAACCUCUCAUCGAACUUGUUGACUUGGACUAUAGUUUCAGUCAUCGCACAAAUCUAGUCUGAAAGAGGCCGAGCUCAAGGUGUGGAGGGUCUGGAGCUUGACGCAGUGGACGUGGGAGGGCGGUGUGGAGAAGUUGAGAUAAUAUGAUCUCAGACACACUGAUAGAGAAGACUUGGAAAAACUUUGAUUUAUUGUACAACCGAAGGGCAGACGAGCCCCGUUGACUUGACUUCAAGUCUCCUCCGUCUGUGAGUCUUCAAGCUGAGAGUUUCGACCUAAACCACUAAGACCGCUUCCAUUAUAAUUGCCUUCGUAAAAAAAAUACAAAGUUCAUGGCCACCAACCAAGCAUCUUCACUCUGUGAGGCUGAUAUGUACACCCCAUGUGCAAUCUGUCACAUAUGUGUUACUUCUGCAUCAACUUCAACAUCAUAUGCGAAUAAUUUCCCAUCACUUGGGCAGCUGAGGAAGAGAAGUGGAGAGCUUGGAGGUUCAGCCCUGUAAAGAUGCAAAGUCCAGAAUGGAGCAACCCAGCCGAACCGACUCGAUUCUGGCAGGAGAUUUUGGAAAGGGAUCUUGAUGGUGAGAAGGGGGCCAAGAAUGAGUCUCGGUCUGCAAGACACUUCUCCAAAACAUUUCUCCAUAAAUGAACCCCAUUCUCAUCUUCGUACACAUCACAGAGGUUAAUCGUAUUCGAGCGCUGCGAUAGAUUCUCAACAAUCUUCCUCAUCACCAGGAUUUCAUUUGUGAGCAGCACACUUGAUAUGGACACUUGUUUUCGGGUUUGGAAAACGGCAACAGCAAAGUUAUUCUGGUCUCCUCUUUCUUGAUCUCUCGGCAGCAUCCCUGUUUCUCAACUGCCUUCUCGUUUUCUUGGAGAUAGGAUUGUCGUCAAGAAUUUCACUAAGAUGGCGUGGCUUGAUCCCAAGUAGUAUGCGAAUGAAGCUUGGGGUGUUGGGAGGAGGUACAUCCAUGGCUGGGUGUCGAUAGUGGUAGUGCUCGCAGCUCUUAGAUCUGAUGAAUAGCAACCGAAGUUGGCUUGUGCGUCGAGGCCGAAGGCAAUGAAUGCGAGGUUGGUGAGGAAGGACACGGGUCCAGCGGUUGCUGGAAUUGGGUUGCGCCGGCGCUGAAGAGCACGGAGGAAGCAGAGCGGCAAAACGAUGGUGGUGAAGGGCAGCUUUCGCGGAGGAUCUAGAACCAGGCGUCGUCUAACCGCCCGCGUGAUCGUACAUGUAAGACAUGAAGCUUAGAAUCACAGUGAAAGCGUCCUCCAUCUCUCGCCUUCUCAGCCAGGUUGACGAUCUUCGAAACCGUCGAUUCGCUCGGUUUCACAUCCUCCGAAGCCAUUUCAGCAGAAAGAGUGAGACUUGGGCCUCUUCAUGGGCCUAUUGGGUAUGGGAUCCGAUGGAGGUCAGGAGGGUAUGGCUUGGGCCUGGAUUUGGGCUGCUCAUUUCUGUGGACUUCAACUUGUGUUUCUUUGAUUUGGCACGGGUCUUAAGUGUAAGAAGACCCACUUUAACAUGUAUACAUUUUUUUUAAAUUUUUUUUACUACAAAGAAUAUUGUUUUUUUUUAUUUGUAAUAAAAUUGACUCUCAAUAGUCAAACAUUUAAUAAAACCUUAUUUUUUAUUUUGACGUGACUGUACUCGAAGUUGAUCGUUCGAGUUGCUUACGUACCCUUCCAAAGAAGAGAUCAAGUCAUAAUGUAGUUCAAAUACAUAUUUUUUUCGAUUUGUUUUAGUCCCGUACGUAGUUUAUGCUCUUGCGGGCUAGGAGCAUGGUCCGUUUGUUUUAGGGGUAGUAGCGCUUCAAGAAUCUGCCAUUGAUGGGGCCGAUAUUCAAGCUGUCUUCUGCCAUGAUUAAGUAGGCGCCAUUGGUGUAGACUUUUUCUAUUACGCCAGGUCCAUCCCACUUUGAUGUGAACUUGCUUUUUGUUUUGUGAGUUAUGAUGAUAAGUCUACGCAAUGUAAGAACGAGAUCUCCCACUUGAAAAGAACGAGGGCGAACUUUCUUGUUGAAAGCCUUGGAGAGUCGUGCUUUAUAACACUCCAAGUGCUGCUGAGCUUCAAGCCUUUUCUCAUCCAGUGCUUCCAGCUGUUGAAGAUGCAACUUUGUGUUUUCUUCAUCAGUCAAGCCUUCUUGUAUAGCCAUCCUUAGUGAGGGGAUUUGGCUUUCGAGUGGCAGAACAGCUUACACGCCGUACACGAGAGAAUAAUGCGUAGCUUGGGUAAGAGUCUUAUGUGUCGUCCUAUAUGCCCAAAGUGCUUCGCUUAUUCUUUCUUGCCAGUUUCUCUUUAUUCGGCCGAUCACCUUCUUUAGGAAGCUGCACAAUGUUUUGUUGAAUGCUUCUGCAAGACCGUUGGCCGGAGUAUGAUACAUGGAAGACUUGUGUAGUUUGAACUUGUAUUUCUCACAGAGCUCGUCCAUGAGUCGGUUGGAGAAUCGUUUUCCAUUGUCAGUGAUGAUGUAGCGAGGCACACCAUAUCGGUGGAUGAUAUGUUCCUUGAUGAAACAGACAACAGCUUCCUUCUUGACUUCCCUUAGGGGUAUGGCUUCAGCCCACUUGGAGAAGUAAUCUGUUGCAGCUAUGAUGUAAGCUUCUUCUGUAGAUGACUUUGGUGCAAUCGGCCCUACGACAUCCAAUCCCUAUGCAUUGAAUGGCCAUGAAACAACUGUAGGGUGUAAUGGUUCAGGUGGUUGAUGUAUGAAGUUGGCAUGGAAUUGGCAGGCUUAGCACCUUUUGGCGUGUUCCAGACAAUCUUUCACCAUGCUUGGCCAGUAGUAACCCAUUAUUUUGAGCUGAAAAUGUAGCUUUGGUCUAGACUGAUGCACCCCGCAUACGCCUGAGUGUGCUUCUUCCAUGGCUUGAUUGGCUUCUUCCUCACCUAGGCAUCUCAGAAGUACUCAUUCAAAAGAGCAUCGGUGGAGUGUUCCUUUGUAGUAAAGAAAGCAAGGUGUUUGUCGAUGUAUUUCGGAGUGAUGUCUAGGAUCAUUUGGAAGCUUUCCAUGCUCCAGGUAGUAGAUUAGCGGUUGUCUCGACUCUUCAGCAUCGACUGGAAGUAUUGAGAUGACAUUUGUAUCAUCCAGUAGCAUUUCAGUGACGAACGGGAUCACCCAUCUUUGGCAAACUGGCACGUCUGCAGCUUCAUCUUCCCCCUAGUGUCAUAUUUGAGGCUAGGUUGGCGAGAGCGUCUGCCAUUUGUUUUUCUUUUCUUGGCAUAUGUUCCAGUGUCACAGUCUUGAACUUUUGUAGCAGUUGAGUUGCCAGCCGGAAGUAUGGGACGAGAUCGUCUUUCCUCACCUCAUAUUCAGUUAAGAGUUGAUUGAUUAUAAGCUUGGAGUCACCAAAUACCUCAAGGGCUGUGAUUCCCAUGUUGAUCGCCAUUUGGAGUCUGAUGAUCAGUGCUUGGUACUCAGCGACGUUGUUGGAGCAUAGUUCGCUUAGUUGGAAGGAAUAAAGUAGUAUUUGCCUUUGUGGCGACAUGAAUACUACUCAUGCCCCUGCUCCGUUUGCUCAUGCAGAUCCGUCGAAGAACAUCGUCCAUGUCGGGAAGAUGUCAAUGUAGAACACCUCCUCAUCAAGCAAGUCAUCUGAGAUUUUCCAAUCAGCUAGGAUUGGAUGAUCGGCAAGGAAGUCUGCUAGUGCUUGUCCCUUGACGGCUUUAGUUGGUACGUAGAUGAUCUCUUAUUGAUUAAGAAGCAACGCCCAUUUAGCUAGUCGCCCUGUUAAGACUGGUUUGGACAUGACGUAUUUGACCGGAUCAGCUUUAGUAACUAGGUGGAUGGUGUAAGCAUGCAUGUAAUGCCUGAGCUUCUGAAUAGCAAACAUCAAGGCGAGGCACAUCUUUUCUAUUGGGGAGUAGUUCAACUCAGCGCCGGUGAAAGUUCGGCUAAGGUAGUAGAGUGCUCAUUCUUUCUGGGAUUCAUUCUCUUGUGCCAAGAGUGCUCUAACUGAACUUUCCUGAGCGGCGAUGUACAAUAUGAGCAGUUUCCCGGGCACAUACGCCCCCAUGACAGGUGGACUUGAUAAAUAUUUUUUUAUUCUUUCAAAAGCAUUGUGGCAUGCUUCGUCCCAUACGAACGGAACAUCCUUCUUCAUGAGUCGACUGAACGGUUGAUAACGCCCUGCAAGGUUGGAGAUGAAAUGUUUGAUGAAGGCUAGUCGUCCUUGUAGAUUUUUCAGCUCGUGCAGGUUUCUUGGUUCAGGCAUGCUUUGAAUGGCCUUGAUUUUUUAUUGGUCCACUUCAAUGCCACAGUGCUUGACAAUGAAGCCGAGGAACUUUUUAGAGGUGAUGCCAAAUGCGCACUUUAACAGGUUCAUCUUAAGGGUGUAUUUUCGCAACCUUUCAAACACUAUUCAUAAAUCCUUCAGGUGAUCUGAUCUUUUCUUUGUCUUGACAACCGCAUCAUCUACGUAACAUUCUACAUUUUUGUGUAGCAUGUCAUUGAAGAUUUUCUGCAUUGCGCGUUGAUAUGUGGCUCCAGCGUUUUUCAGACCAAAGGGCAUCACCUUGUAGCAGUAGAUACCUUUUGGAGUGCGGAAGGCUGUUAGUUCCUCAUCUUCGAGAGCCAUGUGAAUUUGAUUGUAUCCAGAAGAGCCGUCCAUGAAUGACAGUGCUUCAUAGCCAGUGGUUGCAUCUACCAUGAUUUUGAUGAUUGGCAAGGGGAAGUCGUCAUUCGGGCAAGCAUCGUUGAGGUCCCGGAAGUCUAUGCAAACACGUAUUUGUCCAGAUUUCUUAAGGACGAUGAUGAUGUUGGAGAUCCACCUGGGGUAUUGCACCUCUCGAAUGAAGCCUGCUUCAAUUAGCUUGUCAAUCUCAGCCUCAAUUUGUAGGAUGAGCUCCGAUCGAUAUCGCCUUUGAGUUUGCUUUAUCGGUCAUGUUCCAGGCUUGACUGCAAGAUGAUGCACAACGAUGACAGGGUCAAGGCCGGGCAUUUCCUUGUAGGUCCAAGCAAAGACGUCUUUGUACUCUAGUAGCAAUUGGUAAUACUCUUCUGUCUCAUCCGCACUUAGCAGCGCACUUACAAAGAUAGGCUUCAACUCUUUUUUUGUGCCUAAGUUAAGCUCUUUGAGAUCAUCAAUCGUGGCUUGCCCCCCAUCCUCAAGUUGUGGUGGUGCGGCAGUGAAGUCUUCCUCGGGGAUUUCUUCUUCUUUGCCUUCUUGGAUCGUGAUGUGGAAGACGUCUUGGACUUCCUCUUCAGUUCCGUCCUUUCGGGCUUGUUGACGUGAAGAUUGGCCGGUGUGAAUGAUGGUGCGCCUUCUCACUUUCAGUGAUCCAAUUGUGUCAACCUACAAGAUUGCUUGGCGUUUCAUCCUUGAAGGAAUAGAGCUUCGAACAUCAUCUUUUCUUGCCAAACUGUCGAGCUUUUCUUCCUUUGGCGUCAUUUCCCUCUUUCUAGAAGGCUUCUUGUUGUCUUCAAGUCUUUCCAAAGCUAACCAUCGCGGAGGAGAGCUAGCCAUGUUGCUGCGUUGCUUGGGUUUUAAUAACCUUUCAAAAACAGAGCUUUGGGAUGUUGGUGUGUUAAGCCUCUUGAAAACGGAGGUUUGGUCUUGACCACCAAUGCAAUCAAGUGCCGAAAUUCUAGGCCUUGAACGAUUCAUCCUAUCGAAGACUGACAUCAGAGGAGCGGACUUAGGCUCCUCUUGAUUUUGUUCAACGCUCAUGCUGAUGUGUUAAGUGCUAGCAUUUUUCGCUUUGCUUGAAAUCUUCACGGGUGCAUUUAGUGUGAAGUCAAGCCCAGCUUUGUUGUUGUCAACUUCGUAACCAUGCUCCUUCAACUUCUUUUGAGUCUUGGUGAGGUUAUAUUCUUUGUCGUUGAAGGUGUUUGAAACCCUCUUUCCAGGAUUCGAAAAGGAAGCGAAGUCGUACUGAGUUUUCGACAUGAGCUUGUAGGCGUUUGGAUCAAAACCUUCUUCGGUCCUCUUGGUUGGAAGAAAGCUUGGUUCCACCCCAUUUGGCAGAGCUUUUAUGAAGCCUUGUGGUAGUCUUGCAACCUUAGCAUCGCGUAGCUGUGUCAGAGGCAAAACUGCAUCCGUCUUGAGCAACUUUAAAUUAUCCUUGUGUCGUUGUGCAUCGAAUUUGCUUGCUCCAGUUUCGAACGGGGAUUGACCAUUCUUUCUUCUCGACAUCGAGAUGUAUCGGAAAACAUAACUUCUCCUUCUUACUUCUUGGGCAUGGCUUGCCACUCCUGCUUUUUAGGUGUUGCUUUGCCAGUGGAUUUUAUCUCUUUUGAAAGAGCUUCAGGCACCAUGUCUUCAUCCAUGUAUAACUUGGCAUCUCCAAAAUAUGAUUCGGCUUCGGUGAAUGGCUUGGUGUCGUCUUGGAUCACCUUCACUCCUUCUCGGUAAAAUUUUAAGCAUUGGUGAAGGGUGGACAAUACUACUCCCUUCACGUGGAUCCAAGGCCUUUCUAAGAGCAAGCUAUAAGAAGUUCUUGCAUCAAUAACGUGGAAUAUCGUGCUUGACUUAAGUUCGCCAAUGGUCAUCUCCACUCGGAUCGUGCCCAUUGCUCUUUGACCUCCUUGAUUAAAACCUUGGAUUAGUAGACGGCUUAGGGAUAGUUCGUCCACCUUGAUGCCGAUUGUGGUCAUUGUUGACUUUGGCAUGAUGUUUAUGGUUGAUCCACCAUCCACAAGCAUGCGGUUGACUUUGUGCUCUCUUAUGUACCCCGAGACGAAGAAAUGACGGUUGUGAGGCUUUGAUCCCAGCAGUAAGUCUUCAUCUGUGAAGUUGAUUGCGUCUUAGGUGGCACAACAUGUGGCACAUUCAUGCGGCCGAAGCUUCAAGCCUUCGUUUAUCUUUUUUUCCUCGAUAGCGAUGGCUUUGCCUUUUAAAGGUUAUUCCAUUUCUACUUCGACCAUGUGACAUGCAGCGGCAGUGCACUGUUGGAAGAAGUCCUCCGGGAAGUACUUGUGCAAAGAGACGGGAAUACAUGGCUCUUGCUCCAUAGGUUCCCCAGCAUACGUUGGCUUAGCAGCUUUUCCGUUUCUUUUGGGCUUCCUACUAUUGCAACAACGGUGCUUUCUCCCUUGUUCCACCUUUGGCCUUGUGGCUUGUGGUUUUGGUUUCCUUGUCUUUUUGUAGGUCACCAAUGUCCAUUCUUUUUCGUCAUCAGUAUGUGCAUCUUGGUCGCUUUCCCCCAGUGAUGGUUGUGCAGAAGAUGUCAUGCAGCUUGAGCAUUUACGGGAAUGGUCAGGUGUCACUUGGAGAGGCACGGGAUCAAAGGAUCCAAACGUAAUUGUAGUAGUAUGUGUUGCGGCCGUGUCUUUAAGAUCGAGCUCGAUUUGCCCUUGUUGUGCUAACUUCAUGAUGAGUUCUUUGAGGAUGAAGCAUUUACCAAAAAAAUGGCUCACGAUACGAUAGUACUUGCAGUACUUAGGAUCGUUUACGGAAUUCAUCUCUUCAGGGCGCUUGCAUUCCGGUAACUUGAUCACCUUCUUUUCCAGUAAGUCAUCUAACAUUGCAUCCAUGUUUGAGUCAGGAAAAGGGUACGUCUUUUGCUCUAACUCCCUCAAGGUGUUUUUGUACUUGUAUUAGGUGCGAAGAGGCUCACCUCUCUUUAUCUCUUUUGCUUUGGUCUUGGAGGAGAUCUUGAUGGGCGCAGGGGAGGUCUUGAUAGGUGCGGUGUUGACAGUAAAAGCUUCCUUGGAGGGUUAUUUUCCAGUCCUAUCUACAUUUGGGAAUAACACUUUAUCCUUCUCGAAGUCGGUGAUCAGCUCAUUCUUCCCAUGAUUGGCGAUACUUAGCUCCAUGUCGUGAGAUCGAGUUGCCAGUUCCUCAAAUGUUCUCGGUUUUAUACCUUGGAGGAUGUAAUGUAACCCCCAGUGCAUGCCUUGAACACACAUCUCAAUGGCAGAUGUUUCAGAAAGCUGAUCUUUGCAAUCCAGACUUAAUGAACACCAUCUAUUGAUGUAGUCGAUGACAUGUUCAUCCUUCCACUGUUUCGUACUGGUCAACUCCAGCAUGCUUACGGUGCGACGAGUGCUGUAUAAGCAGUUAAGGAAUUCCCUUUCUAGCUAAUCCCAACUGUUGAUAGACUCAGGCUCGAGGUCGGUGUACCAGUCAAAGGCGUUGCCUUUCAGCGAGCGCACGAACUGCUUGACGAGGUAGUCUCCCUCCGUUCCAGCAUUGUUGCAAGUUUCAAUGAAAUGGGCAACAUGUUGCUUUGGGUUUCCCUUUCCAUCGAACUGCAUGAACUUUAAUGGCUGAUAACCCAUCGGCAUCUUCAAAGCGUCAAUUUUCUUGAAGUAGGGCUUUGAGUAUAGUACAGAGUCAUGUGAGCUUCCUUUGUACUGCGCAUUGAUGAUGCUGGUAAUCAUCUCUUGCAACUGCUGGAUAGAAAGAGAUCUCAUGAAUGCCGCUGCUUGGUCUGGCUCCGGCUUCACAUCGACUUUCUCCACCAGAGGCUCAUCUUCUUCGCCGGCUCCUCCCUUCUUUGGGGCAGGUUUCUCGUCAUCCUAUGCCUCCAGGCGAUUGACAAGUGCAGUGAUUUGCAAGUCUUUUUCUUCCACGGUCCGUGUUAGUCUUGCGAUCGCUUCAUUCAUUUGAGCCAACUGUUCAUCGAUUGAAGUAGCUCCAGUGGUCAUGACUUGGAUGGCUAAACUGCCGCUUGAGUCAGCAUUGGAAAACAUGGAAUCAGAGUACUUCCUUGGGCUUUCAUCCCUUAGCGCCCUUAGUGAGGCCAGGGUGAUCACAGGUUCGUGCCUCGGGUGCUCUUGUUCCUUUGGCAGAGUUGAUGCAGAGGUGGAAGAAGCGGUAGAAAAAGCUCUUGCCUUGCUUCGAGUUAUGAUGCCCGAAAUGACACCACUUGCGGCGAUGACGCUCUUGUUUUUCGUGUUGGUUGCGGGAACCAUUUGAAACUUCCUUGAUGCCAUUUGAUUUUCGAAUGUGUGCUUUGAUUUCCUUGAACGGAGAAAGAGAUGAGAGGUAGAGAUUGUCCCAAUGGGCGUGCCAAAUUUGUAAACACGGAAAUUCCUGAAACAAAUGAGACCAUGGAAGAACAGUUGGAUGUGUGGAUUUGUUGAUGUUGUUGAUCCAAAAUGCCGUUAGGACUUGAUCUUAUGCAAACACGAAAAUUCCUGAAACAAAUGAGACAAGAACAUGUGUACAAAAUAAUAUUUUUUAUUAAUGAUUUUGGGGUUACAAUCUCUCUCAAAUUUGAUCCUCUGAUUCGAUCUCCGUGAGGUGUUGAUUUGUGGAUGUGCAAUUAAUCCAAGGUUCGUCGAGGCUUGAUCUUGGAUGAACGGUUGGAAAUUUCUUCAAAGGGCUUUGGGCUUGAUCUUAAAGGUUGAUGGAUGAACAGAUCUUCAAGGCUUUUGGGCUUGAUCUUGAAGAACUGUUGAUGAACGGAUCUUCAAGGGUUUUUUGGCUUGAUCUUGAAUGAACGGUUGAUGAAUGGAUCUUCAAGGGCUUUUGGGCUUGAUCUUGAAGAACGGUUGGAUGUGUGGAUUUGUUGAUGUUGUUGAUCCAAAGUGAUCUUAGGAUGAACGGAUGAUGAACAAUGAACACUUUCCUCAAGGGCCGUCGGGGCUUGAUCUUGAAUUGGUGAAAGUUCUUCAAGGAUCGUCAGGGCUUGAUCUUGAAGGAGGAUUUGACGAAGAACGAAGAGAACUUUCUUGAUCUUUCGGGAUUUACUUGAGAGCUUUAGAGUUUCAAAGCUUCAAAGGUUUUGGUGUGAUGUGAAUUCAUUAUGAAUUAGUGUCCUAAAACGAAUAAAAUGACCUUGUAUUUAUAGAAUUUUUCAAGGCCUAAUUUGAAUAUAAUAUUCAGAUGAAGUAAAUCGUUUCUGCCAAGUGUUGACACAUGUCCUUAUUUGAUGACUUUUCUUAUUUAUUUUGAUUUUCCGUUUAGUCACACGCUACAUGUAAAAUUUAUGUGACCCAUGAACGUUGAAAUUGUAAUUGUUGGUCAACAUUUAUUUUACUGAAAUUUCGAUGUCUACAUAUACCAUAUAAGUAAAUUAGUGAAUCAACAAAUUCUAAAUGGGUACAUUAAUGAUAUAUAAAUGUACAACAUUUUGAAACUCAUUGAAGGUGCAAAACAAGGAGUAAAUCAUCGAUAUUGACAUGAUUGGAGAAUCCUUGCAAUUUUGUAAAAUGAUUGCAGUAAUGGGUCAACUAUUUCUCUCACUUGCAACUCAUUAAAUUUAUGGUUUUAUUUAGAGGUUAAGAAGUGUGCGGGUAUACUGAACUCCCGAAAAAUAAAAUUAACAAACUGGUGAGUUUAUGUUUAUGAAAUAAGAGUUACAAGUCUAUAAACAACCUUUAAACCAGAAGUUCCCCCGCCAUGGUUGUCGUACUGAACCGCGUGCAUGGUCUCAUUGGCCAUAGUCUCUCAGUUUUAAGUCCAACCAACGUUCCGAAGAGCCGCAGAAACUUGAAGCUGAGGAUUCUAUCAAAUACAGAGCUUAUGAUAGUACAGCACUAGACUCAUUAGCCCAUGUCUAUAGUGGAACAAAUAAUACGCGUGAUUCAUAAUGAUGUGGACUGAUUGACCCUUGUCUGUCUAUUGUGGAACAAACUGAUACGCGUGAUUCAUAAUGAUGUAGACACUACACUGAGUAUAUGGUCCCCAUGUUAAAUGUAGAGUACGUAAUGUGGUCCAUAUGUUAAAUAGACGAUACAAUAAGUCCCCAUGUUAAAUGUACAGUACGUAUGUGGUCUAUAUGUUAAUUAUACAAUAAGUGUAUGCAGUGGUGAAGCUAGAAUUUGCCGAGAAGAGAGGUGAAAUUCAAAAGAGUGCAAGAUUCAAUCGAAGUGGUUGUUUUUAUAUUUGAGAGUGCAAAGUUUUGAGUCAAUAUUCAUAGCAGAAAAUAGUCUCCACCAAAACGAUUGUAAGCGGUAAUAUCAAAGCCAAUAUAAUAAACUUAUAUUAGCUAGGUUUAUAUUCUUAAAAAAGACGCUAGUCAAGUAGUAGACUGGAACCUAGUAGCUAGGCGUCUAAGAGAGAUCUAGGCAGGAGCCUAGUGGGAUUUAAAUGAAUUUCUUUUAUCGUAAAAUAAGCAUUAAACAAUAUUUACAUUACUUUUUAAAAAGUAAUACAACAUUUAUAUAUAAUGUGAGAGUUUAAGAUAAAUCCAGUAGGGGUCUUAAAAGAAAUGAAAAAAUAAAAUAAACAAUACUUGAGUACCCACAAUUUAGUACCAACUAGCAAGACUGCCCGCGCGAUGCUGCGGUGCUACGCCUUGCUCCUGUACAACCUUAUCUACAAAAGGAACAAUGAGCAGCAUUGAAUUUAAUUCCAUCAUCAAUGCCUUGAACUUGUAGGAUCAAAAUUAAUAUAUAUAUUAACAUAGACCCUAAAAUUUCUAUCAUGGAGAAAAAUAUUAACAUUGGGAAAAGGCAAAGAGAGGAAUUCUCAAAAGAAAACUGAGAGUAUGGAUCAUAUUGAAUGGAAAUCACAAACAGCAACCAAAUCAAAAAUGAAGAAUAACAAUUGAAAAGGAAAAUAAUAAUCGAACCAUAACUGAAAAAGCUAUCUGGUUUUGAAUAUUACAAUUAUGAAGCAACUCUUAUAGGAUGAGUGAGUAGAAUUUACAACGUAGUUAGGAGUUGCAAUGCAGUUAGGAGUGUUCCAUCUCGCUAUCAAUUUGCUAAACCAAGAUCAUCUAUACCAAAUGACAACUUUUUACAAUGCAAUGAUGAGAACCACGAAGACCAAUGUUUGGAAUUCACUGAAAAUAUUCCGUUGAAAAGAUUGUAACUUGUGAAGUGCAUAACGAAAAGGAAAAGACAGAGGCUGGUCUCAACAUGUAGAGAGUUGAAAGGAAUUGUGAACUUAAUGAAUUACAAAAUGUAAAAAAAUUGCAUUGCUGAAAAAGAAAUUAAUCCGCAGGAGAAAUUGAGUUAAAAUUUUGGUUGCAUAUUGAAGAGUCAGUUUUGGAACAGAUGAGAAGGAGUGGGAUGUAAUCAAUGGAAACCUCAGUCACUAAGUGUAAGAAAAAUGAAGACAAAGAAUUGCAAAGGAAAAGAACUUCGAAUCCACAUGGAAACGGAAAUUAAUAAGUGGAAAAGCAAUUAAAAGUCGAGGUUAAUCAAUUCCGUACCUUGACAGCAGCGAUCACACGUACUUCUUUCGUAUCAAUCUCAACUUCACUGUAGGAAACCAAAACAGAUUCGGUCUGUAAACAUUUUGGAGGAAAGAUUGGAUAUAGAGAGAUGAAAAUACUGUUCACAAUGAAUAAAAAUUAGUGUAAAUUUGUUUGCAUAUAGUAACUCAAUGAAAGCGAUGGAGGACAUAUUGGGGAUUUGAUAAUGACAUGUUGAGAAAGUUAAUAGCAUUGAUGAAUACAAAAUUUAAACCGUUACUGGUUGAGGCUGAAACAUAAAGGACUAAAGCAAAUUUUGAUCCUAAAUUUGAAUUUUAAAGUUGAAAAAAAAUGAUGGAGAUAUGUUGGAUAUGAUUAUAGACCAGAACGAAGCUACUUUUAUGGUUAUUUACUGUCCAAUAUGAUACUUAUGGUAUAGUUAAAGGUUCUAUAUGUUUCAGUAGUAAUUAACUCUGAUCCUUAUGCAUUCACUUGAGAAAAAUUAGCAUUUAAUGUCUCCAAAGGGAUCCCAAGUACUUAAGACAAAGUUGUUAAAAAAAGUUAAUGAGAAUGCAGAUUGGAAGCCAAAAGUAAAAAUCAAAUGAUUACAGAAUGGAAAUAAAAAUGUUGGAGUUAACAGUAAACAAUUUAAAGAUUAAACCGGUUGAGUAUACAUUGGGUAAUCAAACAUAUGGAAUAAAAGAUUAGAAAGUGAGGAUUAUGGGUUGGAUAAAAGUCAAAUAGAAAUGGAUGAAAAGCCAAAAAAUAGGAAGAAGAAGGCAGGGAGUAAGAAAACUAACAGAAUAUGGAUAUUGCACAAUGGUUAAUAUAUUAAAAACUAAAUGUUUCAAUAGAUUAUAUACCUUGAACAAAAGACGAAAUUGAAGCAUUGGCAGUUCCUAAAAGCGAAGAAGAAUGAGAUGAGACAGUGACAUCUAGCAUCUGAUUGUGGAGACAAAAUCUGCAGUCAUAAAAAGAAAAUUUAAACAUAAACUUUACCUAUAUAUCAAACACUCAAAUAAGAAAAAGAAUAAAUAAAGAAAUGGGCCAUAUGGAGAAAAAAGGUUUACCAGAACUUGGUUGUAUGCCAAUUGAAAAACAUUGUAGGUCUCAACUCAAAGUAUACUGACCACCAUGUCCAGAAGAUGUAAAAAUAACAUCACAAAAUGUAAACACCAUUGAAAACACACAGGUUGCAAUAGGCUUACAAAUGAAAUCUUUAAUUUGUACGAUAUAGAUAAAAAAAGGUUACCAGUUGGUUGUUUACAUACACAAAAAAUAUUCCAGGCAUAUGCUGGAUCUUAGUACCUGGAACUGCUUUUCAACCACAGCCAGCAUUGGGAUACAAAACACUGGCAAAUGCUGGUUUAUGUACAGGCAAAAAAUGUUUUGAAGUUCAGAUCAGAAACAUAUUUACAUGACAGGGAAAUAGCAUAAAUAUUGUUUUAUACAUGUUAACAAAAAACCAUCAUGAUUUUUUAUCAAUGGAGGUCAACUUAUGUUGCUGCAUUGUUCCCUUUCAAGAAACCAACCUAGGGAAAAAAAAAAGAAAUUAAGAGAGUUAGACGGCUGUUAAAUCCAAGUUGUAAAAAAAAUUUAGCAAAAAAAAAAAAAGCAAAGGUAAAAUAUAACAACCUAGCUUUUUUUUGGAGGGGUAGCAUCUAAUUUUCCAGCAGUUGAGGAUGGGUUCUUUUUUAGCAAUUUGAUCAGGACUUCAUCCAACUCUCUUGGAUCCGUGUCUGAAAUUUCCUCUACUCCACUGUUUUAAAUGAGGUAUCAAUGUUAAACAACAUGACUACACACAAAUUUGAAAUUUAUAGUUACAAAGGUAUGGGACAAACCUUUGUUCACCGCCAGUGAAAAGAGCUUGCCUGAUUGAUUCCCUUUUUCGUUUAAACGACUGCUCAUUGGGUUAAACUGUUGAGGUCGAAGAUGAAGCAAUGGUGGAAGACACUAUGAUUUCUCUUGACAAAGGUUGUGGAGUUGCUGGCUGCAUAACUGUGUCUUCAGUCACGUUAUGAAUGAGGAUAUCAUUUGAAUAAAAAGUAUUCCUCCUGUUGCCAAAUCGCAAGUGAAAAAUUUUCUUCUAUCCAAUAAGCCUGAGAAAUUCGUUUGGCAACUGUUGUUGCUCUACCAGUCUUUGAUUUAAUACCAGGUCUUUGCAAGGCAUGCCAAAAAGCUUUUCACCACAUUUACCGAUUAUCAAAGCAUUCAUUUCAUUUGUUUCAUCUUCAAGAAUGAGAUUGACUUUGUACCUACAUUUAGAAACUCAAACCAAUGAGAUUUUUGAGAAUCAGAGGUUUUCACAAACAUAAGAGGUAAAAAAGCUGAAACAAAAUAGAUUGCAAAUGUGGAGUAAUAUUAUAUAAUCAUAUGGUGAUCAUGUGUGACCAAAUAUGAGAAAACAUAAAAAAGAAAAGGAAACAAAGAUAAAUUAUUUGUCAGAAUAGAAAAAAAAUAAUAACAUUUAGGUUUAUACAACUGAAGUUGAACAAAAACAUAAAGUAAAGAGUGAACAAUGGUAACAAAUUUUUUUUUAAGGAACACCAUGUUUGGCAACCAUUGUGUAUAUCUAUUAUAAAAAUGCUUUCAUAAUCUGGAAUUUAAAAAAAAAAUAAGUGUGAUGACAUAAAUAAUUAUACCAAAAUUGUAAAUUUUGCACACAAUGUGAAUAACCCUAUCUAUAUUUAUUUUUCUCAAUUGGUUAAUGAGAACAAACAACAGGGUAUCAAGAAAGAGUAAACUUUUUGUUAGCCUUGCUUCAAAUAUUUGAUUUAACAUUACCACAGCGUUGGUAUUUGGUUUGGAUGUUUUUGACAAAUGAGCUGCCCAAUGGUUGGAUCCUUGUGCACCUGUUUCAAGCAGUUCGGGCAAGCACUGUACCACUAGUUGAACCGCAUGUCAAAACGCUUGACAGAUGCUCUACACACAAAUGUAUCAUCCUGUGAUAUAUUUUGUCACAUAGCCGUAACAGCAAGAACAACAGAACUCAGUUUCAUUAAAAAGGUUAAAAUGCAAUGGUAAGAUUUUAAGAAUACACAAAAAAUAAACGUUAUGUUUUAUACCUUAUGCAAAUCUGGAUCCAAAAAAGCCAAUUCAUCAAUUGUAGCUUUUUUAGCAGUCUGCAAAAUUUGAGCUUCGUUUCGUUGGAUUGCAGAGGGAGAAAGUAUGUCCAGAGCUUCUUUACAAUCACAAAACCUGCAGGAUUCAAAACACUUUAUCAGUUUAACAAUUAUAAAAAAAAAAAUGAUAACAAUUGUUUUCCAAUUAAAAAAAGUGUUAUUUUGUUUUAAAAACGAAAAAUUUACUCACACUGACUUAUACGUAUUCACUUCGGGGAUGUCUAGGUCAAUAAAAAACACAGACGAACCAGUACUACUCAAAUAAAUUUUUUUUGUGCGUUGCAACCACACCACAGAGAAAAAGAUUAAUGAACAAUAUUAAUGACAUUAACAAAGUUAAAAAAACAAAAGGGAAUACAAAAGAGACGAAACAAACAGAAAUAAAGUAAGAAAACGACUAAUAACAGUGACCAACCAGUGAUAGAUUGAGACAUUUGUAAAUUAACUGGCCAAGAAGGAAAGAAACAUAUAAUCAGAAAUUGGACGAAAGAAAGAUAACAAAAGUUUAGGACAACAAAACAUCCAAAUAAUGUAAAGAAACAACAUGUGUACACAUCACAAUAAACAGACUAAAAGUAAGUAUUUAACAAAAUGGAAUACCGAGGUAGAUCUUGACUUUCAGACUUGUGAAAACAACAAUGACUGACAAAGAAAAUUCCUCUGCUGACAAAGAAGAAAAAGCUUCAGCAACGUCUGCCCACAACAUAACCAUUAGUUCCUCUUUUCUGUCGAUAAAGAAACGACAAAUAAAUUUUUGACCUUUUUAUACCACCAAAGCAACAAAUAUUGAAAACAGUAUGUAAGAAUAGGGAUAAGAAGUGAAAAAUAACCUAAUAUUUUGGAUAACCACAUCACACUUGUACAUAACCCUUUGAUUAAUUUGUUUAGGUUCCAGCCGCUGCACAACGCUUAUAUGACCAAUGACAUCUUACCAUUUGAAAAAACAAACAGAUGCACAUUAUUAAAAUCCAUUUUAGGAAGUAAACACACACUUUAAGACACGCACAUGCACAUAGACAUUAAUAGUACCUGUGAGGAUGUCAACUCUGUUUAAGCGAGGGUAGAGUGUGUUAUAGUCUUGUAGGAAAAAUCGAUGGCGAGGGAUGGGCGGAAACACACUUGCUAAUUUUCGGAAAGCUGUUUUCGAGGUGAACAAAACCUGAGUUUCAUGCAGCACCACCUUGUAUUGUGCCCUAAUUCUAAUAGUUUGAAAUUCGGUGAUUUCAUAGCAUGCACCAUCUUCAAUUUUUUAAGCCAUGACAUCAUAAUCAACAUCCAAUGUAGAGGCCUCAACCGCAUGUUGCUUCACAUCGUAUUAAAAAAGAGGAAAAAAAGCCAAAAAAUCAAUUAACAAAUAAAUGAAAACACAAAUCAUACACUCGACAACACAAACAACAUGACAUGAAUCAAAUUGUUACCAUGAGCAAAUAGAACGAAUGAACGCAGUUAAAUUAUUUCAAACAAAAUGUAAAAAAAAAAAAUCCAUCAACACAUAAAAGUUUACAACAGAACAUACCGCAUGGCAAAUAUAAGGAAAGAAAGCCAAAAAUUGAGGGAACAAACAGAGGGAAAACACAGGUGAUGCACACAUUUCGCUGAUGACAACAUAUCGAACUCUAACCUUCUAACAUGUAAAAAAGCAUGGCAACAUAAACAUUAUCCAGUGAGUUAAUAUAAACAUUAUCCAGUGAGUUAAUACUCAUUGACUCCAACUUUGGGUAAAAUAAUUAGACAAUUAUUUCUCACCGCUUCAUCAACCAAUAUGCAGUGCAGGUUUGUAGACUUUUGAACGGUUCCUGGAAUCGUCAAUUUCCAAAUCCUGCAUAUGCGAAUUUUGAUUUUGUCCGCCUUUAUGUAUGGUAUUAACUGAUUAACAGGAGUUGGGCGCACAGUUUCCAUUUAUCCUAUCAAAAGGGAAUUUCAAUGACACAUCAGAAACUCCCACAAAACUACAAAAAGAAAAAAAGACAAAAACUAUAAACGAUCCACAAUUCAUUCACCCAUGGUCUGAAAGGAAGACAUGGAGAGUUUAACAACCAUUUGUACUUUCGCUAUCUUUUCCACCCUGUCUUGCAUGCCUAUACAACAAUUGCACAAAUUUUAUAUUGUCCAAUAAAACUAAGGACGCAAAACAGAGACCCAGACUGCAAAUCCCGUGAAUGACACCUCCAAAGAACAAAUAAUAUUGACGAAAAGAACGGGAUACCCAAGUUUUAACACCAAGAAACAAACACCUCAGCCACCACCACUAAUAGCAACAACUACAACAAAGAAAUCACAAAGUUAAUGACCACACGAAAAAGAAAUGACAACAACAAAAUAGCCGACACUAAGACCGCACAAAAACUCAAGUACAGAAACACCAAGCCUAACACAUUCAUGAACCACCACGAAUCCAGUCACAUAACACAAAACAAACCUCCAUCUAAAAAAAGAUACAAAUUUAUGUCAUCCUCUGCAAAUCAAGGCUGAACCCAAAGGCUUCAAAGAAACAAAUCCCACGAUGAAAGAUUUAGUGUCACACUAAAACAACCACAUCCCCAAACCAACUACCUCAUAAUAUAAUUUUUUGCUUUCGUUCUCCACCAACGAAAUGAAAAAUCAUUCUAUCCUCUUUCAUUUCACCAUGAAUCACAUGUACAAAUCCAACCUCUUUCAUUUGACCACAAAUCUAUAUAAUGGCAAUCCUCAGCUUUCGUGUUUUGGAUUGAAGAAAAAAUGGUAAACAUGGAAAAAGUUACAGCACUAAUGUUGCACACAUCUCCUGAACAUCUAAGAAAUGGCAAUCGGCUAUUUUCGCUAAUCGUAGAAUAAGUAUACCAUUUUUUAUACACCUUACUGAAGGAUAAACUGAAUUCUGACUGAGUCAAUGAGUAAGAUUAUACGAAUAAAGAGUUACAUUCUAUAAUGUACUAAAUAUUCCUACUAUACCUUCAUCCUGCGAGAUUAAGAAUACUUGAGAACGAUGAGUUGAAAUCAAUACGCCAAUUAUUGCUUUACACCAAGACUAAAGUGUGAAUGCAAUUUUGUACUUCGCAAAAUGAACUCUAUCCACUGCAAAUCCAUAACUAAGACUAAAUUGUCAGUGCAAUUAAUAGUGUGACUAAUCAUCAAUCAAUGGCAUCACCCUCAUACGAAGAAAGGGAGACUCUAAAAAACAACACACCCAUAACAAUUUGCUUAAAUAACUAACGGAUCAAAACAAUGAGAUGGCCAAAAGGAAAACCCACCAAACAGCAAAACGCAAACUCUCUACCUCCACCACUCAUGCCUAACCACACUUCUUAUACCCCCUCUCUCUUUUCCCAACCUCUGCUUCAGCAAAUCACAUAACCAGACAUCUUUCUACACAGGCGUCGACUGCUGCAGCAUUCUAAAACCCUAAAAUCUAUUUGAACGCAUGAUUCAAAAGGACAACAUCACCAAAAUUAAACGAUAAACCCAAAAAACGAACGAAGCCCAUACAUAUUUAAACGCAACAGAAGAAAACUCAUUUUCCAAACUAACAUAAAAAUAUGAAAACGAACAUAAAAAUCUAAAAAAAAAUCACGCACCGCAGGGUUCUCCGACGUAGCAAAGAGGCACAGAGCAGAGGAGAGGACGAUCGAGAAGAAGCAAACACAAACGCGCGCGAAACCAAAGCAAACAGGCAAGAAGAAAGCAAAAGAGAAGGCGGGAGCGAAAGACAGCGACGCAACAAAAAAAAUAAGAAACGGGAAACAAAAACGAAACAAAAUAGAGCAAAAAGAGCAUAACAGGAUGAUCAACACGUGGCAGAUCCAAUCCCCACCUUCUCCCUGCAUCAAUCCCUCGAAAACAAUGAGAACCCAUUAUAAACCCAAAGGGCAAUUCGGGCAGUCAAAAAACACCCACCAACCAUGGACGAUGAUCAACACGUAGCAGAUGCAAUUCCCACUUUCUCCCUGCACCAACCCUCGAAGAGAACCCAUUAAAACCCCGAAGGGCAAUUCGGCCAGUCGAAAAACACCCACCAAUCAUGGGCAAAGCCGACAUUUCAAUGGAGAAAAGAGGGAGAACAACGUCAAAACACAAACCAAGCAAGGGGCAUUUCCGUCCCGGCACUAUUAAUGAACAGUGCCAUCCGAAACCCAGUUUUAGUAUAUAUACUUUUACUCACUAGAGUUUGUGGCCCAAUAAAAUUACGACAGCUGUCAUUCUCAACUCUCUAACCAAAUAACAACAAAUCUAUUAUUCUAGCAGCCAAACACUUUAGGGGUGAGUUUACAAAUCCAUAAUCAGAUUGAAGGAAAUUGAAUUGAGGAGAAAUCAAAUUAAGGAGGAAUUGGAUUGAGAAUGAAACAAAAUUAGAUUCUGGUCAAAGUUGUUUACUAAACUAAUUGUAAUCGGAAUACAAAUGAUAUUAGUUCCAUAUAUAUUGUUUACUAGUUCACUAAAAUCGGAAUUAAAACUAACUUGAUUACUAAAUUGUCCUUGUUUAAAUAAAUUAUGUUUAUGCUAUAAUUAUUGAAAAUUAAGUUUAUCUAAUUAAAUAUAGGCUUAUUAUGUUAACACCCCACAUUUUGUUGAAUAAACUUCACAUACUUAAUGCUCCUCACAUUUGUUUUUUUAAUUAAAACUUAUCUUAAUAAACCCCACAUACUUCCCAUAACACCCUCACACCCCACAUUCUCAACAUACACCUUACAUUUUCUACAUACACCUCCACAUUCUUCAAAUCUUAUAAUUAUCAUUCUUGCUUCUAUGGUUUUCAUUAUUCUCCAUGGAAAUCUUGAUCUUUCGUUUCCUUCUUUUGGUGUUUGUCCAACAGACAGUUCUGCUACUUCGACUUUCUCUUUGCUUCCAUUUAACAUGUUGAACUACCUCCUUUCGAUGACUCUUGUUAACGUAGGGGACUGUGCUGGCAUCUUGGUUGGGAGUGAUGGUAUUCACUCGCAAAGUGGAAAAAAAUGAAAUAAAACAGGCUUCGGGGGUUUGGACGCCUCAACGAAGGUUAAUGGCUUUACCUGUUCAAAUACUGGCUAAUCAGCAUUGAGAGUAUUACAGUAUGAGGACAGAAAAAAAACAUGGAUUGAGAUAAUUAGGAAAUAUAUAACAACAUGUGAUUCAAAAUAAAAAUAUGUCCCAGCGUUGUAAAUGGAUCGAGAAGCAUGAUUAGUUGGGACAAGGUCCUAUUAUCAUUUAGGUUUAUAUUAGACUUGCCAUGGGGAAAAUGAAUCAAUGUUACCCUUCAUUUCCAAAACUGUGAUGCUUUUGACAGCAUAUGCAAGCAUACCAAAACAUGUUUAUCAAUCACUGGUUACCUUUUAUUUUAAACUAAUACUAGAAGAAUCCUUGAUAGAUUAGAGACUAAUGUAUAUACUUGUAUUGAGAACAAAAUAAUAGUAAAUUGAAAAAUAAAAUUAAAAGAAUACAUAAAUUACAAGUAUUCAACAAGUUUAGAGUUUAAAAACACAUUAAUAUAAACAUAUAUUAUUUUGGGCCCAAAAAACAUGGCAUAUUAUAAUCAUAAAAGGCCUAGCCCCACCAAAAUAUUUACUUUUGCAUUCAUUUCACCUCUUACCUUCGUCAGUCGUUUAUGCAAAAUCCGAAGAACCAUAAAUGGUCAAAUGCAUCAAGAACCCAAAGAAAGCCAAAAGAAAGGCCAAGGUUGGCUCCAAAUUCCACUACCUUCUUCGUUGUUUGUUUAAUUAUUUUAAUAAAGUUAGGGUUGUGUCUUAAAUUUUUGUUUAAGGCUCAAAGAAAAUAGGUGGAUCUCCUUCCUCUUCGAGACCAUCGAUGCUGAUGAAGGUAUGGCAACCGCCUAGUGGGCCGCCUAGCACCGCCUAGACCGCCUAGCGGCUGCCUAGGCGCCCGCCUAAGCCAUCACCGAAUUUCUCUAACAUUUCGCUCCAAAUCGCCUCGAAAGCCCAACGCCUAGUGCGUAGGCAGCCGCUUAGGCCGCGUUUUUGAACACUGGUUAGAAUGCAACUUAAUUAAAAUAGAUCAAAGUAUGGCUUUGGUAGGUGAGAAGCCACCAACAUCCAUAUUUAAUAUAGGGACCAUACUUAUUGUAGGGCCUACAUCAUAUAACCACCACAGGGUGGCUCAGUGGUUGGGUACGAAUUCCAGGCUCGUAUUCUGCACGGUACGUCUUGAGUUCGAUUUCUAGCGCUGGUGAAUCAUACGAUGGUGGUAAAAGGGAGACUAAAAUUCCUCUAUGAGUUUUCCUGGCUCCCAAAAAGGUGGACUACCAUGACGAAGCCAACUAGUCCCUUUGUCGAUCUUGUAUUUCCACAAACUAAUUCAUGUUAUUUGUAUUUUUUUUAUCUUGUAUUUCCACAAACUAAUACACUACUACGAAACCAUUUACUAGUGUCGCUAUGAUAACCGACAAGAAACGUAUAUUACUGUCAUAUAUUAAGCAAAAUCCGACAAAAAAUGGAUGCAGUGGCGGUUAUAAUAAGUGACAAAAUUGCUAGGGUUAGGAAAUGAAUUUUCUAACAGAAAAUACUCUAAAACAGACAGAAAUUGUGUCGAAUAUAACCGACAGAGAAUACAUUAAUACUGAAUAAAUAAGAGCAUUCUCUGUCGGAUAAAACCGAUAGAAAAUAUAUUAAUAAAAAGAAAUAUAAACCACUUUCUGAAUCAUUUCUUUCCCUUUCAAGUUGGCCUUCCCUGCAUUCACUGCAUUUUCCAGCUUUGAGAUGUGCAACGUUCCUCUAAGGUACACCAUAUUCUUCAAUUCUUCAAGUUUGUUUCCUAUUUCGCAGCUAACCUAAAUAUAUAUAUAGACAGAAGUUUGACCCCCAACAACAAGAAAAGGAUUAGAAAGACAGAUAAAUAUAUUUGAAAAAGAAAAGAAAAGACAAACCGAAAAUUUGGGCAAGUUAUGCAACCGCCUACACUACUCCCGGGGGUUACAGUUCAGGCGGUUCUCAUGUUCUCCGACACUCUCCUUUCUUCACCACCUUUAUCAUCAUCAACCUUGUCUCGUUGAUCAGCUCAUUGUCUUUUCUCGUCACAUUUCUCUCGAUCUUGACAUCUCAGUUUGAGUACAAAAACUUCCAUCAAUCUCUUCCGCUCAGGCUACAUUUAGGAUUUGCCUUUCUUUUCUUCUCGCUAGGGACGACCAUGCUCUCGUUCACUGCUACAGUUGUGCUCUUGAUUCAUCUCGAUGAGGAAUUGACAACGUCUCUCCUUUAUGUUGUUGCAUUUUUUCCUAUGUAUGUAUUUGGGUUCAUACAGCAACUUCCUUUGUAUGCUAGAUUUUCUCAUGCUUUGAUAUUUCUAUUUAAGAAAGUUAAGAAGUUUAUAAUUUCUAUUUAAAACACAAACUAAACAUAAUACAAAUAAUUUAAAACGUACUGGUUUCAAAAUGUUGCUUCUCGAAUUGUUCAUCCAUGGUGAUUGAAGCGAGAAGGAGAAGGGGAGAAGAGAAGGAGAAUGAAAUUAGGAGAGGAGAAAAGGGAGAAGGAAGGGGGAAGGGAGAAGGCACCGGUGCAAGGAAGAGAUGGAGGGGUUUUAUUUUGGAAAAUUUUCAUUACUGUCAGUUAUAACCGAUAGAAAAAAAUGGCGGCAAAAAUCCCCCCUAAAUUCCCUCCCAAAAUUUUAAAUUCCCCCCCAAAAUUUUGUUACGAUUUAAAAAAAUAAAAUAAAUUGAACGGAGAUAUGCAUUUUAUGAAACUAGUUUCCAUAAUCUAACCGUCAAACUUGUUUGUAGAUACUACUACAAGAUCGUAUACGUAAAAAAUCGCAAAAAAAAAAAAAAAAAAUCAGAGAUUAGGUAACAUAACAAAAGUUUUUUUACGGUUAUAAACGAAAAAUCUCAAUUUAACGGUUAUUUUAGCUUCGGUUUUGAUGAUUUUUUUACAGCUACACUCCUCGAUCCUAUAAGAAUGCAAUGAACGAAUUUGAUCUUCAAUUUAAAAUAUUUACACUAAUGGAUAUCACAAAAUCUUAUUUUAUACUUAAUGGAAGUAUAAUAUUAACUCUAAGUGUUUGUUUAAUCUACCGUUUUGACGCGAUAUGCAUUCUACGAAACUUUUUUCAACGAUCCAAUCGUCAAACUUAUUUGUACACACUUCGAGAUAGCAUACGUAAAAAAUCAUAAAAAAUAAACAUUCAAAGAUUAUGUAACGGAACAAAAGUUUUCGACGGUUCUAAACAAAAAAUCACAAUUUAACGGUUAUUUUAGUUCUGAUUUUAAUGAUUUUUUACAGCUACACUCCUCGACCCUAUAAGAAUGUAAUGAAUAAAUUUAAUCUUCAUUUUAAAAUAUUUAUACUAGUGGAUACCACAAAAUCUUAUUUUAUACUUAAUGGAAGUAUAACAUUAACUAUUUAAGUGUUUAUUUAAUCUACCAUUUUGACGUGAUACACAUUCUACAAAACUUUUUUCAAUGAUCUAACCAUCAAACUUGUUUGUACACACUCCGAGAUCGCAUACGUAAAAAAUCACUAAUAACAAACAUUCAGAUAUUAGAUAACAGAACAAAAGUUUUCGACAGUUAUAAACGAAAAAUCACAAUUUAACUGUUAUUUUAGCUCCAAUUUUGAUGAUUUUGACAGAUACACUCCUUGACCCUAUAAGAAUGUAUUGAACGAAUUCGAUCUUCAAUUUAAAAUAUUUACACUAGUGGAUACCACAAAUCUUAUUUUAAACUUGAUGGGGAAGUAUAACAUUAAUUCUAAGUGUUUGUUUAAUCUACCAUUUUGAUGCGAUACGCAUUCUACGAAACGUUUUUCAAUGAUCCAACCAUCAAAAUUGUUUGUACACAUUCCGAGAUCGCAUACGUAAAAAAUCGCAAAAAACAAAGAUUCAGAGAUUAGGUAAUGGAACAAAAGUUUUCGAUGGUUAUAAACGAAAAAUCACAAUUUAACGGUUAUUUUAGCUCCGAUUUUGAUGAUUUUUUACUGCUACACUCCUCGACCCCUAUAAGAAUGCAAUGAAUGAAUUUGAUCUUCAAUUUAAAAUAUUUACUCUAGUGGAUAAAUCUUAUUUUAUACCUAAUGGAAGUAUAACUUUAACUCUUAAGUGUUUGUUAAAUCUAUCAAUUUGAUAGGAUAUGCAUUCUACGAAACUAGUUUCAACAAUCCAACCGUCAAAUACGUUUGUAUAUACUUUUAGAUAGCAUGUGUAAAAAAUCGCAAAAAAAUAAAAUAUAAAAACAUUCAAAGAUUAGGUAAUGGGACCCUGAGUGAAAAAAAAAAAAAAAAACAUUCAGAGAUUAUUCUGGCAGCUGCCCAAAAUUUUGCUUUGUUCGUGUCGGUUAUAUCCGACAGGGCCAUGAGUGAAAAAAAAAUAUUUAAACCAUGUGUUUAUUUAUUUAUUUAUUAUUUUUAAUCAAUAUAAAAUUUUAAAAUAAUAAAAUAGUCAAUUUCUGUAGGUUAUAACAGUCAGAAUACUAAAAUAAUAACCGCUAGAAACUAAAAUAAUAAAAUAGUCAAUUUCUGUCGGUUAUAACCACCACCAUUAACUUAAAAACCGUCGGAAUAUGUUAAAAAUAUUUUAAAAAAAGAAUUCAAAAAUACUGGCAGUUAUAAUAAUUUUAUGGCUAUUGCAUCCGACACUAAAUAUCUGUCAGGAAUUUAUGUUGAAUAUAACCGACAGGAUUUCAUUGUUACCCGACACUAACUGAAUGAUGUGUCGAAUAUCUUUUAUCCGACAUAAUGACUUAUUAAACCACCACCAUCAUCCGACACCUAAAGCUAAUAUUGUAGUAGUGAUACACACGUUAUAUGUUGUCGGUAUUUUGUUGAUCUUGUAUUCUUGUUGAAAUUUCAUCUUCUAGAAAAUUAUGUUGGCCAGUCAUAUUUUUGUGACACUUAACCUAACUUUGUGAUAAAGUUGCAUAUUUCGAGAAACGAAAACUAUAAUGAACAACUAGCAUUUGCCUACACAUUUUGUGUAUAUGAACACGUUUUUUUUUAGAAAAUGAGAAUGAGAGAGAGAGAGAUAGAACGUGGAGGGAGUUGGAGGUUUUUUUUUGUUUUUUUUUAUUUUAAAUAUUGGAGGUAUUUUAACAUUACCUGUAGGUGAGGCUUCAAUAAAAAAAAAAAAAAUUUGAACCUGUGAAAUUACAUUAUUGCUCAUCAUUUUUUUUGUGUGAUAGAAGACUAAGUAGUCUUUUCAUCCUCUUUUGGUUGACAAAAAGGGUUUCAUUAAUUAAUAGAGAUAGGAAUGAAAAAAAUAACAGAAAAAAUAAAAAAUUUAAGGAAAAAUUAAUAUAUGAUUCCUAGUUUUUAAUGUUCAUAUAUUAACUGAGACUUUAUUAGUUUUUAGAUUUUGAUCAAAGUCUCUAGCAUUAAUGUAUUAAUAAAUUACAUGUCAGUUACAUAAUUUUUUUAAAUAAAAAUUAGUAAUUGAUUUAGGGUUUUAAAUAAAAAUUAAUUUUCAAUUCAAAAACUUUCCAAAACAUAAAAAAUAAAAUUAGAAUAAGUUUGUACCCAUUAAUGUUUUAUAAAAAAAAAAAUUCAAAUUUUCAAUCUUAUAUGUAACCAUUUAUAUAAUUCUUCUAUUUCUCUAAUCUUAAAUGUACUUAUUCUUAGAUAUACCAAUUUGUUAUCUAUAAAAUGUACCUUUUUAUAUAUAUAAAAUUCAUUCAAUCUUUUUUCUAAUUCAUUUUUUAAAUUUAUAUGGGUACAUUUUAUUUCGUUGAUUUGAUAAUGAAUUCAUGUCAAAUUUAAUAGAAGAAAUUUAAUAUGUACCCAUGUUUUGGUGCAAUAAUUUUUUUGUUAGUUUUGAUGAACAUACCCAUGUAUGUGUGUACACACACAGACACACACAGACACACACACACACACACACACACACACAAUAUAUAUUCUUUAAUAUUUUUUAUCCCAUAAAUUAUAGGUUUUAUUUAAAAUCUCAUUAAUAUAAAUAACUACAAAUUUCAUUUUUAAUUUAAAAAUAAAAUAACCUAUAUAGAAAUACAUUAUUACAUUAAUGUCAGGGAUUUCGAUAAAAAACUGAAAAUCACAAAAGUUUCAGUAAAAAAAUAUUGAUAAUUAGGGACCGCAUCCAAAGUAUUCCAAAAUUUAAUGACUGAGGCAAUAUCAGAUUCAAAAUUUAAACUUUGGCUUUUUAAUUUAAAAACCUAAAUUUUUAAAAUAGAAAUUUUAGCGUGCGAGCAAAUUUCAGUUGAUUCAUGGAGAUAUUUCAUCGAACACUUAGUGAGUUUGUUGUCGUCAGAUGAACUAUAUUACGAAUAUGUUAACAGAUAUUGACAUUUGCUAAAGCUAUAUAAUGAGUGCUAUUGAUAGCAUUCGUGGGUAGAUUUUGCUUCGUGAUCAUGGCAAAGCUUCAACAAGUUCUGAACUCAAUUGCUUUAUUAUAUUCUAUGCGUUUUCUUCAACAAAGUUAGGCUGAAAGAAUCGUUCACAUAAGAUAUUUGUCUCCUGAACAAGUCUUUCUUCCUUAAUUUUUCAAUAAUGACAAAAAAAAAGAAAAAAAAGCUACGAGAUAAUCAUACUAACUGAACAAGUUGCUCCCAUACAACAGUUAUCAGUGUUGACUCGUCAUGCGCACAAAGCUUUCGAACAACUAUAACAAAAAAGGCCCACAUUUCUCAAACUGUCUCGGAAGUUUGACUACCAUGGCGGAGAGCUUCUGCAUGCGGUUCAAGUACAACCUGCUAUGGAAGUGUUUAAAGAUUGAGAUGAAGUGGUGAUUCGUUAAGUAAAUUUUAUUUUUGUUGCAAACAUUGUUUUAAAAACUCCCAUCUAAGUGCUAUUCGGCUGACCACCACCCCGAUUAAUCCCUAAACAUUUGAAAAUAAAAAAUGGUACCUAAACCUGCCUAAGCGCCUACCUAGAUCGCCUAAGCGCCCUAGCCCACCCAAACCUACCUAGGUCGUGGCUCACUUCGAAAAUAGAUAACUUUCGUUUUGCUUUUUAUUUUUUUCAAUAAAUUGUAAAAGACUAGUCAAAUACUUAGAUUAACACAUAUUAUAUGCUUGUUCUCCAUGUUUUUAUUAUGAUUCAAUACUUUAUAAUAUGUAUGUCAUUAUAUUUUGUAGUUUAUCGUGAAAGUAUAUAUUUUUUAAGUAUAAACGUAGACACUUAUUUAUAUAAUAUAUAAUAAAUUUACUUAAAUCUGUUUUUUAUUAUGAUUCAAUACUUUAUAUAUGUCAUUAUAUUUUGUAGUUUAUCGUGAAAAUAUAUAUUUUUUAAGUAUAAACGUAGAUACUUAUUUAUAUAAUAUAUAAUAAAUUUACUUAAAUCUGUUUAAUCCUCCUAGGCCCUUGCCAAGCCGUCUAGCAUCUGACCCCAGGCCACCGCCUGGCCUAGCGUGUUUUAGAACUUUAGUUGCAAUACAUUGAGGUUCCGAUCCCCGCCCUGAAGAAGAAUGAGGUUUUGCUGAAAUUGGAAGCAGAUAGUCUCAACCAGUUGAUUGGAAAAUCAGAAAGGCGAGCUGCGGCCUCUUUUCCCCGGCAAAUUCCCUCAAAUACCUGGGAAUUCUGUUUCUCAUGUGAUUUGUGAUGUUUUUAUAAUUUUUUAUCUUCAACAUUCGUAAAUAAAACUUAUGCCAGAACACUAAAUAUAAUCUCUCAUUUGUGCUCGAUUCGUACGUGGAACACGUCCAGCGUUGUGGGUUGAUGGAUUAGUAGGAUUCUGUAACAAAAUUAUGUUGAAGGAUGAGUUGUUUUGGGAAUUUAAGCAUUCAAUGUCUUUGAGCUCUAGGCUGCUAUCUGUAGUGCAAAAUCUUUAGUGUAGACGGUUUUUAAUUCUCCUCUCUCUCUCACAUGACAUGACCAGCAACUGAUGUGGCCGGAGAGGUUGUAGAAGUUGGACAAGGUGCCAAAAAGUUCAAAUUCGGUGACAAAGUUGUUGUACUGCUCCGCCAUUUCGUAAGUGCUCGAUCGACUUAUUCCCCUUUUCUCUAUGAGCUACUUGUUUAUGCUUAGGAUUUUCACAUGUAAAAUUCAUGUGUUUGAUAGAGUGGAGGAGGACUGGCUGAGUUUGCUGCAACUAAUGAGAGAUUAAUGGUUGCUAGGCCACCUGAAGUUUCAGCUGCCGAUGGCGCAUGCCUACCGGUUGCCGGUCUCACAGCUCCCCAGGCUCUCGCCCAAUGUGGGGUCAAGCUUGACGGAACUGGUCAAAAUAAAUAACAUAUUGAUCACUGCUGCCUCUGGUGGCGUGGGGCACUAUGCAGUCCAACUAGCAAAGCUUGGGAUACUAACGUUACAGCCACAUGCGGGGCGUGUAACAUCGAAUUGGUCAAGAGCUUAGGGGCAGAUGAGGUUCUUGAAUACAGGACUGCGGAUGGGGCAGCUCUAAAGAGCCCAUCUGGACGAAAAUAUGAUUUUGUAAUCGACUGUGGAAAAGGCAUUCCUUGGUCAACUUUUGAGUCUAAUUUGAAUGCAAAAGGGAAGGUUGUAGACAUUUCUCCGAUGUGAGUUCUUUAGCUACUUUUGUAAUGAAGAAACAGCAGGUGCCACUGCUCAUGAUUCCCAAGGAUGUGAACCUAGAGUAUCUUGUUAAGUUGGUGAAGGAAGGGAAGCUGAAGCCAGUGAUUGACUCGAUGCAUCCUCUGAGCCAGGUUGAAGAUGCUUGGCUUAAGAGUAUCGAUGGCCAUGCUACUGGGAAUAUCAUUUUAAGCUUAGCUGAAGCAUUUAGUUGAACAUUUCCAAACAAAGAUCAUGCCUUUCAAUACCAACAAUUAUACAACUAAUCGCGGUUUGUCUGUCAUAUCAACGCAAACAGAGCAGACAGAAAGUAACUGGAACCCAAAUGAAAAGGACAAGGAUUGUCUGCCCUCCUCGUUCCCGUGCCCUCCUGUUUUGUGUGAUCACGGUAAAACCACGUCAACAUUUUAUAUUGUUUUUUUUAUAGAGAUAAUAAGACAAAAAUGAAUAGUAAUAUAAAAUGUUGACGUGAGUUAACCGUGACCACACAAACAGGAGGGCAUGUGAGGGCAUGGAAACAAAGAGGGCAGACAAUUCUUGUCCAAAUGAAAAACCUCGAAACAUUUUGGUCUCCCAAGUUAAAAUUUUGUUAGGCCACAAUAUAAAGUCUCGUUGCACUUGCAAGAAGCAAGAUCAAAGCCUUUUCCUUUGAUUAUUUCAAUCUUACAAACAACUCUGCAAGUCAAAUUUUUUAAUUUCCUGCCCCCAUAAUCUUGUUCAAAUCUUCGAACGUAAGAAACCAACUUAAAAGCCUAAUUCCCUACAUCAAUUCCAAUCCUAAACAUGAAAAUACAAACUUAAAAACUAUCGAUAUACCCUAAAAAGAACCAAAUUUUAGAAUGUAAUCGUAUCAGUUUAUAGUAUUUUAUUAAAGCACAACAAUCAACUCCACUCAUCUAUCUAACCCUGGUUCCACUGUAACGAGUGCAUUUUCGAUCACCACCCUUGAGAACUCCCGUUGAUUUCUUUUCUUAUGUCUGUACUUUCCUGCUGUUUAUGAUUCAUUGUUAUUACUCUGCGCAAAAUUGUUAAUUUUUUCAAAGUACUCAAAGUAUUAGCAUUAACUUACCAAAAUUUGAAAGUAACUGUUGUGGCCUAUUUAACUGAAGGGGAAUAGGGGGUGAAUAGGGGGUGAGGCAAGAGAGAGUAUGGAGAGAGUGUAAUGAUUUAUUAUGUGAAUGUUACUCCCUCUGCAGUGUCUUUAUUUAUAGUCGAGAAUAAGGAGAGGAUUAACUUGUCCUUCAAGUAAAUACAAUCCUAUAGGAAAAGUAUAACUAGCAACCAAAUGUAUCUAGGAUUUUUCAAUCCAAGAAUAUCUAUGACUUGCGAUUUUAUUUGUAAAACACUGCAAUUCAAAACAAAGCAUGGCCAAAACUAAGGCUCCACAAUUAUCUUUCCGGUAGCAUGGCCAUCGCUGAUCCUAUCCCAAGCGUCCUCCGCCUUGGCCAGGGGAUACUUUGAGUCAAUUAUAGUCUUCAGCUUCGCUUCUUUCACCAACUUAAUAAGAUACUCAAGGUUAUCAGCCUUGGGAAAUAAGAACAGUGGCACCAGUUGCUUCUUAGAAAAGGUAAGUUUCUUCAGUGCAACGCUAAACAGAGAGCUGGGGGUGGGAGUAACAUCUAUUACCUUACCGUUCGCACUCAAAUUAGGCUCAAAAGUUGACCAAGGAAUGCAUGUUGCACAGUGGAUCACAACAUCAUAUUUUCGACCAGAUGGACUCCUAAGAGCUGCACCUUCUGGGGUCUUGUAGUCAAUAACCUCAUCAGCCCCUAGGCUUUUGACCAGUUCAAUGUUGCGGGCACCACAAGUGGCUGUAAUAUGAGUAUUUCCGAGCUUUGCCAACUGAACCGCGUAGAGACCUACACCACCUGAAGCAGCUGUGAUCAGGAUGUUUGCUUGCUGACCACUUCCAUCAAGCUUGAUCCCAGCAGUUUGUGUAAGAGCCUGGUGAGCUGUGAGACCAGCAACGGGUAAUCCUACAGCGGUGGCUGCAGAAACUUCCGGUGGCCUUGCAACAGUUAAACUCUCCAUUGUCACGGCAAAUUCAGCUAGUCCACCUCCAGUCUUUGAUUCAUUGUCGAAGAACAGAAUGAGACAAAAAGGGUCAUGGUAUGUAUCAAUGAAUGAUGCAUCAGAUAUCUAGGUGACACAUUCUGUCACUGGGUUUGCAUAUUAAGCACACCAAAAGUGGUUUUUACAUGCAAUAGUUCAGUCUCAUGCCGACUGGAAUGACACUAGGGAAAGAGGCACACAAAGUCGAUGAAGGGUUAACGAGGGUUUACAAAUACAACAAUUCAGAUUGGAACAAAUGGAUUCAACUUUUCAAAUUAGUAGAUACUUAUUCAGGUAUCAUUGAUGAAAAUAAUAGUUCUAAAUUAAGUUAAAUCCAUCAAUAUGCAUGUUUCCUAGAUGUAUGUGGAGCCUAAAAGAUGCUAUUUCCAAAACAUGAUAUGGAAGCUUAAUUCCCUUUUUCUGAAUUAUGUUAUCCUUUCAGUUAAAUUUUACUUCCGCCGAAAACGAAGACUAAAUUUGAAGAAUUUCAAGUGAAACAGAGAAAAUGAGCUAGUAUAUAAGGGAACUUACAAGAGUGUUAACCUUCCCAACAACUUUGUCACCAGGUUUGAAUUUUUUUACUCCAGGUCCUACCUUUACAACCUCUCCUGCCACAUCAAUACCUGUUCCGAGUUCCACCAAUGAAUAUCUUCAGUUAACAAAACGACUUCUGACAAAAUGCGGUUCUGUGAAAACUUCUACAUAAAACAUGUUAAGAAAUGCAUCCCACCCUUUCCCUUUGAAGAACUCGAAAAACUAUGCUAUAAUAUCAAUGUUUACGUAAGAAUCUCUCCCCAGAAAACACACAAAUUUCACUCCAGAAGUUUAUAGAUGAAAUGAACAAGAAACAGGUGUUUAAGCAUUUAUCGAACAUUCGUACUACUUUUCAAGAAAAAGAUCAAAUAAUACAUGGAAUGAGGCAUAAUUACGUAAAGAGUUAUAAACACAAAAUGGAUCCCCUAAGUAGCAGCGUCUCAAGGCAGCCAAACCA